GAGAGGGAAGUUUUGUUGUUUAACAGCUGUGUUGGUGAAUUUUGUUGUUGUUUUAGCUAUGAUCAUGAAUUCCAUAACGGAAAGGGGACAAGUUUUGGUUUGGAAGGACAACGAGAUAUGUUAAAAGAAAAUAUCCACAUUUUCUUCCUGAUAGUCAUGAAUAGCAUUAUUUCUUUGGUACAUGGGUUACUUUCUUUGGAAACUGGAGCUUAAUUUGUUAGAGAGAGAGAGGGAGAGAGAUUUCAAUAAAUAUAUAUACAUACUGAUACUGACUGUUGCUUUGAAUAAAUUUUUUUUAACGUAUAUUGUACAUUUUGAUAUGUUUUUUUUUAAUAAAAAAAUUAAAGAAUAAAUCAAAAAGCUUAUGAAAAUAUAAAAUUAAACAAAUUGAUAAUAGAAAAAUUGAAAGAAUUGAGAGAAUAUUUCAUCCUGCAAAAUAAGAUAUUUAUUUGUUUAUAUCUACUGAGUUUGUAUAUUAAAAUCAAUAAAAAAUAAUAAAAAUAAAAAUACAUACAAAACUGAUUGAAUAAAAUACAAGAAAAAAAUUAUGCAAGAUUGAAUAUAUUAGAAAUAUCAUGUUAGAAUAAAUAUUUUCUUAUAUAAAAUAAAGCUAAUCUAUAUAAAAUAAAAAAAUCUUCAAAAAUUAAAUUCAAACAAAAUAAUUUUUUUAAAAAAACCUUCAUUCAACAAAAGCCUGCAAAACUUGUGGCCUAAGUUAUGAGACCGGGAUAAACCGAUAGAAAUGAAAUUGAAGGUAAUCAUGAAACCAAUCUUUAAAAAAAAUGAUGUAGAAUGAUAAAAUCAUAAAAAAAAAUCUAGAAUUGCAUUAACUUUUCAAACCUGUUACCUUUGUCAUUAGAUCUAAAGCACCACAAAUAAAAAAAAAAAUUAUGUUCAAUUCCCAAUAAAUCAACUGUCGAAAGAUGAAAUUGAAAAACAAAACCACUUACACAAAAAAUUAUAAUUAAAAGAAUGAAAUUGAAAAUCAAAAUAAAAAAUAAAUUAGAGGGAAUAAAAAUAAUAAAUUGGAGGAUUAAAUUGAAAAGAGAAAAACUUUAACAAAAGAAAAAAAAUCAAAAGAAUGAGGGCUAAAUUGAAAAACAAAUUAAACAAUAUAAAAUUUGAUUGAAUGAUGAAAUAAAAAACAUAAAAAAAUCUUUAUAAAAGGGUCAAUGAUGAAAAUAAAUAAUAAAAAACAUAAUGACUGAAAUUGAAAAAUCAAAAGAAAAAAGGAUAAACGUGUACUUUUUAUGGAAGAGAAAAAAAAAUAAUUGUUAGUGACAAACCACUCAUCAUCCGCCACUACACGUCAUGUCAUCAUGAAAAGAACAUAAUGAGGCUUUUAAAGACACGACGAAAAGGUAUGUUUGGUCAUUGGAUGAUGUUGCACGUGCUGACACGUAAUGAGCACGCACUUAGAGCUUUUUCAAAUAAAAAAAUAUUUUUUCAAUUUAAAAUAGAAAAAUGCCCACCAUGAGCCUAUGAAUUACAAAAAAAAAUGUGAAAGGACACGAGUGUCCCUGGAUGCAUGCCUUGUUUUUUUUUCUUUUCUAAAGAUAAAAGUGUAUUUUUACUGUAUUUGAAGAAGCGAAAAACCAAAAAAACUUUUAGUCAACAACUCUAAUUUUUCUGACUUUAGAGGUAAAUAAAUAUUUUUACUGUUUAAAAGUUUUUAAAAGACCAAAUAACCCUUGGUCAAUAGUUCUAGAUUUUGUUGAACUAGGGAGUAAAUUCAUUAUAUUAUUGUGAAAAAAAUUAAAAAUAACUAAAAUAAUCUUAAACAAUUUUUUAAUGAUAAAUGAACAUCUGAAAAAGAUUAAAUUACCCUCACCCUCAAGGCUUCUAUUUUUUUCACUUAAUGGCAAAAUAAUAAUUUUACUGUAGUAAUUUAUUGUCUCAGUAAAAAAAAAAAAUAAUUCCAUGUAUAUUUUCUGUUAAAUAUUGGAAGAGAAAGAGAUAAAGACUUGAAGGAAAUGAAGUUCAUAGGGUUGGUUUUUAUUGGAAUGGGGAUAGAGGGGAGCCAAAUGGAUGGGAGGGUGUUUGAGAUUGUGGUUGUGGUUGUUUUUUAAAGUAUGUUUUACUUUGAAAUAUAUCAAAAUAAUAUUUUUUUAAUUUUUUAUAAUUAUUUUUUAUAUCAGCGCAUCAAAAUGAUUUAAAAAUACCAAAAAAUAUUAAUUUUAAAAAAAUAAAAUAAAAUUUAAAUUUAAAUUUUUUAAAAAAAUAUUUUUAAAAUACAAAAACAAACUUUACUGCUUUUGAGCUUAAACUUGGGAGUCCUGCAGUCCUAGGCUUUUUUUUUUUUCAACUUGUAAAAUAUUGCUUGGAUGUUCAAAGGUCAAAAGGACUAAACCGAACACAGUUUUGAGACUCGUUGCAAAAAGUUGUUUCUUUUUUAAAGUAAUUUUAAUGGAAAAUGGAAGUGAAUUAUUUUUUGGUAUAAUAAAAAAUGAGUUAGUAAAAAUAUUUUUCAAUAUUUGAGUGAGUUAUGAAAAAUAAAUUGAAAAAUCAUUUAUUCAUACUGUUAUAUUUCAAGUUUAUCCAACAUAUAUAGAAUAAUAUUAAAUGUAAUUAUUUGACCAUUUAAAAAAAUAGAUAUAAAAAAUAUAAUGAUAGAAAAGGAUUUAUUAUAUCAUAUAUUUAUAUAUAAUUUAUUUUAUAAAAUGUAGCUACACAUACAAUAUAAAUAUAUUAGUAAUUUAUUAUUUUCUAAUAACAUUAUAUUGUAAAGUAUUUUAUUAAUAUAAUAUCGUUUAUAUAUAUAUAAGAAUAAUGAAGUUUUGCACCACUAAAAUAUUUUAUAUCCUUUAUAGAAAGUGUUAAAACAUUUUCCUCCAACAUCUAAAAUAGAAAAAGCUCUUGAAGCUGAGUGUUAUUGCAUAAAUAAAUGAUUUGAAAAUGUGUUUUGGAAGGGGAAUAUGGUGAGCAAGCACCAUACGUGCCCUUUUGAAAUUUUGUCCAUUAUUUGAUUAGAAGAGCUCCCAAAUUACCCUUUAAGGUAUGGAAACUUCAAAUCUCAUCUUUACUUCAUGGCAAUCUGCUCUUCCAUUUUCUUUGACAGACGCAAUUCCAUCCAAUCAUCGCCUAUGGGGUUUGGUAAAUGUCAAUUUUGUUUGCAGGUUUCUCGUGAAAUCUUCCAAAUCGGUAAGCUCAAAGAAGAAGAAAUUAGAAGAAGAAGAAGAAACGCAACCCUAGAGUUAGAGCUAUCAUGACCAGAAACUUAAACUUGUGUAUGAGCAUGGAUUAAACAAGACUGUCCGGUGCUUGUUUAUAGACGGUUUUAUUAAAGAAACAAUUCAACUUAAAAGUUUAAGAUGUUAGGUGGGGUUUCAAUAUAUGAUUUAUAUUAUUUUCUAACACACUUUUUUAAGUGAAAGCUCUUUAAACUUGAAACUUAAACAGAUCCACGAUAAUUUGUGCUUAAUUUUUAUCACAUAAAUGAAAAUGAUGAGAUUCAAACUCGUGACCGCUUGGUCAUCAAAACUGUGAUACUAUGUCAAAGAACCAAUUCAAUCCAAAAACUUAAACUGUUAGGUGACGUCCUAAGAUAUGAUUUAUAUUAUUUUCUAAUAAGUUUUUUAUUUUCCUGAUUUUUUAAAAAGAAAAAUGGCAUAAAAAAAGCUAUUUUUUAUUCCCCAAAAGCGCACACAUUUCUGUUAACUGGCCUUUCCCUGUUAAAGAGAGUUGAUUUUGAGCUGUGGAGGUGCUUUCUUUGCUGGCAUUUUAUAUAUGUUUGGGUUACUUAUUGCCUUCUGAAGUGAAGCCAAAAGACAUAAAAAGAAAAGAAAAGAAAAGAAAAUUGUUGGCGUGUGGAAGAGCUGCUCCAUCGCUUUACAAGGGCUACUGCCGGAUAAGUUGCUCCCGUCUCUGUUUGACCUCAAGAUUCCAAGAGUAUUAUUAACAAUUAAACUAAUUUAACAACAAAAGUGGAAAAAAAAAAAAGGCAAACACAAACGCUCCAUUAUUUUAUUGGAAGAAUUUUACUGUGUUUGAAAAUGUAAUAAUAAUUGUUUUUUAAAAUAAUUUUUUAUUAAAAUAAUAUAUUUUUAAAAAAAUUAUUUCUAAUACCAACACCUCAAAACAAUUCAAACACUAUAAAAAAUUUCAAAUUUCACUCAACCAGGUUAGAAAAUGCAAAGUCAAACGGAGGCUUUCUUUCAAGACACUCCAUGGAGAUCAUCAUCCUCAUCCUCCUUUUCGGUCCAGCCAUAAUGACACUUUAUCAUAUGAAAUAAUAAAUAAAUCAGCAAGGAUUUUAUAAUAAAGUCUUAUGUAAUGAAUUGACUAAAUUAAUGAGAUAUAUAUAUAUAUUACCUGAACUUGAUUUAUAUAUCAUAUAUAUAUCAACUAGCUUGAGAGGACUGAUUAAGCACAAUAACAUAGCACAAUGUAAGGCAUACUUUUGUUUUAUUAAUUUUUCAAAAACUGCAUAUGUUUUUUUUUUUAAUGAAUAACAUGCUAGCAACUAAUCAUGGAAUAAGAUAUGAAUUUAUUCCUAGAGCCAAUCAAUAAAUUCUUGCAUAUGCAAUAUAUAUGUGUGUGUGACUGGUCGUCCAAACCUCUAAAAGGUAAGGAUAAAAGAAAACAAUCCAUUGUAUGUUUUCUUUUAUCCAUUUCAUGAGUUAAGUGUAGCUUUAGAAAAAGUUCGCCAAAUUGUAUUUUUAUUCAUCCAUAGAGUAUUUAUUUAUUUAUUUUUAUAAUCCGGAAUGUCCGAGCUAGUUUACGCGCAUCAUGACUAAUUUCCAUGCCCACUGGACACCUUGCAAGCAUAGUAAGCAGGUAAGGCACCGCAGAGGUGACAGAUAUGCAUAGAGGAUCGAACCCCAGUGCAGAAGAAGGAAACAAAACCCUUCCCCCGCUAGGCCACGACCUCAAGUGCUCCAUAGAGUAUUUAUUACAUGAUAUACAAGUGGUAGUUCAUCUUUUCUUCCAAGGAAUGUUUGUUUUACAUAAAAUAUUUUACAAAUGUAAAAUAUUUUCUUGUAAAAUGUUUUAUAUGUAAAUUGCAUUUCAAUAUUUGGCUUAAAAAAUAUUUUAUAUAUAUAAUAUUUUUUAAUAAUAGCAGUGGAAUAGUAAUGAUAGUGGAAGAGAAGAUGAUAUUGGGAUGGUGGUUGUGGUGAUGAGAAGGUGAUAAUGGUAAAAUUGAGGUUACAAGUGAAAUAAUUUGAUGAUAUUAUAAGUAGAUUACUAUUUAUAAAAUAUUUUAUAGAAUUUCAUGAGCUGAAAAUAUUUUCAGUAAAUAAACUAAGUUUGAAAAUUAAUUGUAAAAUAUAUUUUCCAUACCAGUUUUUUUAUAAAUAUUUUUAUGAAAAAAACACAAAAAAAUAUAAUAUUUUUCAAAAACAAAUACAAGAAAAUCUAAAAAAUAUUUUUCUAUAAAAUAUUUUAUAUAUAAAAAAACCAGAUUCUAGAUUUUGAUAUUUUCGAUCGUAUAUGUGAUGAAAGCCCGUCCCUUCAUUAUAACUCCAAAACAAAUUAUUUUAAGUAAUCUCCUCCACUUAAUCUUAAAACUAGCGUUUAAGAUAAUUUAUUAAAUUGAUAUGGAAUAAAAUUAAGAUUUAAUCUUCAUUAAUUGGAGUAGAAACUAAUUAAUUAGAAGAUAUUCCUUAUCAUCAACGAAAAACAAUGAUCAUAAAAAUUAUUGCUUGAACAUGGCAGAUCAUUUUAUUAGUAUAAUUGUUUUUUUUUAAGUAAAAGGAAAUGAUAAUUAAAAUUAAGGUUUAUUAAAAUUUCAUUUCGUAUAACUUCGAGAUAUAAUUUUGCCUUCUCCUUCCUAAUUAAUUAAUAAAGAAGCUAACCCACUCCACUCCUAAUCGGUUCAUGCGAUUAUACACAGGCUUGGGCCUUUAACCAUCAAAACGACAGUCCUGGGCUGUUGUUUUAAUUGGGCCCUUUUCUUUCCUUCCUAAUUUAUUACAAUGUAAAAUAUCAUCUUUAACGUAAUAACCAUUUUUAAUUACUAGUUUUGUUUUCACCAAGGAAACGAAAUGAUGCAAAAACACUAGUUGUGGAUCACUGACCAGCAGCAGAAGCCUCAGCUGGGAAAGUUUUGGUGACGCAAGGAGGCUCCUUCAUGCACACAAGAUAACAAAAGAUUUUCACGUCAUAACAGGAACACCUACUAACCUUUUCCAAUUUUCCAAUUGACUGGUUAAUUUUGCAUGCAACUCAUCACCUACUCAAUCUAUUUCCGCUAAUCAGGAAGUUUAACUAACAAUUCUGCAAUCGGAAUCUCGCAGUUUCAAGUAAGCAAAUAGUUGAAUCAUGCCCUCCUAUCAACAUAGAAUGGCCUCCACGGACAUCUUCAAUUGUAACUCCUCAGUUAGAUACUGGAAACAAGCAAUUGGACGCGGGAGCAACAUCCAUUUCAAGUUUUAGUGUUAUAGAUCCUUUUGUUGAUUGGCCUUCAAGACCUAGUGGCACUUCUAGUGGUUCUGGAGCUUCUAACAAUGGCAUAACAGGAACACAGCCAAAUAUUUACAGUUUAAAUUUGAUCACAAGCACACCCAACAACAUGAAUUUCCAGAACAAUGUAAAUAUCAGCUAGGCCUUCAACAACUAAAGUUAAUUUGAUCCAUUGAAGCCAAAUCAAGGCACUUCUGCUUUGAAUUCUAGUAGUUUGAAUAUUGGUUCUACUCCCCAAAACUUUAUUGGUUUCUUGAAACAGAAACAGAAUAAAUCGAUUUUGGAUUCUUAUAGCAACACGAAGUCAAUAGAUCUUGGAUCCAUAUUCGAUUCUAGCAAGAAUGAGCAGGCUGUAUCAAAACUUGCUCCACUCGUUUCAACUAUUAGAGGAAGAGGAAGAGGAAGAGGAAGAGGGAGGGGUGGCACAUCAAUCUUGAGGUCUAGCCAUGCAAAGCCACAAUCUGAACAACCCCCUCUUUUAGAUUUGCUAUACUGAGUUAGAUUACCUAAUUGUUCAAGAUCCAAUUUUGUAAUGGUUAUGCAGCCACAAUAGGUAUUGGAGAUUGUUAUAUUGAUUAUUGAUUGAGGUUGUGAGUUGUUUGUAGCAUGAUAUUGAGAAAAGAUGAUUUUCAUUAGUCAUGGAACCAUAAUUGAGAAGCGAAAGGAGAGAAGGAAAUGAAAGACACUGAAAAAAAAAUUGAUAUCACAAUUAUUAUUUGUUUUAUAUUAUAUAUGAGGGCAAUUUAUUUUUUUAAUUUUUUUUAAAGAAAAUUUAUUCAAGAUGUAAAGUAUAAUUUCUUAAACUAUUAUAGAAAAAUAAAAAUACAAUAAAAUCUUAAAAGGUUUUUUUUUAUAAUUAUCUCUAAAUAUAAUCAUCAUUACUUUUGUGUAGAAGAUAUCAAAUUUAAUUCAUAUAAGCUCAUGAAAAAGGCUAAUAAUUUUUUUACACACUAUUAAAUUUGUUGAGUUAUUUUUCUUGAUUGAUACAAUAUUAAUAAUUUUAUAUCAUAAUUAUGAUUAUACUAUUAAAAGUGCUAAAAAUUAUAUUUUUAAUGUCAUUGUUUAAAUUGAUGGUUUGAAAAAGUUUAUUGGUCGGUCUAUGAUUCUAGAUGAUGAAGAAGAUUCAUCUAAUAAUUUUUUGAAUAUUAAAAAAUUUAAAUUUAAAUUGAAAACUUGUAAUAAUUUGAAUUAUUUUGCAAUUAACUAAAUCUCAUUUCAUGUUACAUCUAUUUAAGAGUCCGUUUGUUAAUGAGGUUGCGUCUGUGUUUUGUUUAAAACACAGAUACAACCUGUUUGGUAAAAAAAACACAGUUUACUGUGUAUGGGUCCCACAUGUUUUUGCGUCCGAAACACAGGGAAAAGGAAAAGUAGCAAAGAAAAAGAAAAGCAGCAAAAUGCUACUUCUUGUGCACUGUUCAUGCUAAUUAAUUAGCAUGAACAGUGUAGCCAGCUCUACUGUUCCGAUUGGACCGGUUCCGGUUUAAAACUCAAAAUGCAUUGAACCAGGUCCGACCCAGUAAAAUAAAAAAUAUUUUUUAUUUUUUAAUUGUGUUUUAUUCAAAAAACUAGUGUUUAACAUUAUUCAAUGACACUACAUAAAUUAGACAGAGAUCGCUUGAUGACGUAGCAUUUGCAGAAUUUGAUCGCAAUCCCAAUUUUGUUCCUGAUUAUAUUUUACCUGAUGUUGUUGCACGCUUAAGAAACCAGAAAAACUAAAGUCUUUGUCAGAUGUAUUUCGUACGUGAUGAAAUUGUAGAUAGUUUAAUAGAAUAAUAAAAAAUAUUUUAUAUAAAAUAUUAUUUAUUUCAUGAUAUAAUAACAAUAGUUAAAUCUACAAUAUUUAAAUUAAAAACCAUCAAUAUUAAUAUAUAUAUUUUAAAAAUUAUUUUAUAACCUCAAUUUCAAAAGCAUUAUUAACCAAAACACAUUAAACUACUUUUUGUUCAACCUCAAUUUCAACCACAGUUUUAACUAAAUAUACAUAAAUAUCAAAUCAACAUCAACUAAAAGUACUUUUUAUAAAACAAAUUUUUUUUUAAAUCACAACCACAAUAGCUACUAUAAUACCAAAUAGACCGGCAAACCAACUUUCAUUUGGUAAAGAAAAAAAAAAGGCGCUACAAUGUAUAUUUAAAAUAUUUGAUCCUCUUCCAACUUAAGAGCUAAUACGCAAAUUAUUCAAUCUUAUGAAAUUUUAAUCUUAAGAAAGAAAUUGAUGAGACGCUCAUAAUAUCCACAGAAAAUAAUAUUUGUGUUUUAUCACUAUGCAAUGAAAUUAAUUAAUUAAUUAAUCACUCGAUGCUGGAAGACAUGUAUUAUGAAAGUAAUUUCUAAUUACAACGAUGGCAUAAUUAAGCUCAUUGUCAUUGAAACUGUGAUAUUACGAGUGACUUGAGAGUCAACUUAUGUCAUUGUAAAACUAACAAAACAUUCAAAAGUCAUUUUAAAUCAUUUCCCACUUUGAUGACGAUAUUGCAUUACGCCAUACGAUAAUGAUCUUCGACAAAUUACCAAGUCUAUCACAAAACCCAAGUGGGAGUACAAGAAAUUGAGCAAAUAUAUUAUUUGUUUCUUUCUAGGCAAGUAGUUGCCUAAGGUUUAGCUAUACUUCUAAUAUUUGCAAGUAGUUGCCUAAGGUUUAGCUAUACUUCUAAUAUUUUUCUCUUGUAGUUAUAUUUUUAAAACUAGAUACGGUUUGGUGGAUCAAUUCAAGUGUGGUCAGCCUAGAAUUAGAAUCAAAACGAGUUUAAAAAAAUAAAGAAAAGCAAAAAAUUGAAUUAACUUGAUUACUUGAUUAACCCAGUAAGAUCCAGUCAAAAAUCAAGUUGUAACUCAUUAACUAUUUAUUUAUUUUUUAAUAAAAACAACGUCAUUUGAUUUUAUAAAAAUUAGAAAUCGAUCCGGAAUGAUUAGGUCAAAAUCCAAUAACCCAAUCAAAACAUGUAACUCAGGUUUUGAAACAGGUCGAUUAUUGGUUCAAAAAUUAUACUCAUAACUAGUUAAUUUUUUUAUUAUCUUAAAAGUAGUAAUAAUGCACGAAGUAGUCUUCUUUUUUAUUAAGUGGCUCACCCACCAAAAAAUUUCAAAUAUUCGAGAAAGUAAUCACAAAUUUAAAAUAUAUAUGAAUGUAAAGUAAAGUAAUCAUAAGACUUGAAUAAUUCAACUAUCUUCAGAUAGCGAAGUCUUUAAAAUUACUUCUAACAAUCUAGUAAAAUCACGAGGAAGCCUAAUCAUUUAACCACUUCAAAAGAUAAAAUUGCAAAUUAUGGAGUUGGGAAUGUAAUCCCUAAUCCAAUGAGUACAUUAAUUAUACAAAGAAAAUUGAAAAUGAGUCAUCCAUCGAUCCUUUUGCACGAAACCCUAAUCCAACUAAAUCAAAUGGCAUUUUUAGGGGAUCUAGUUAGAGCUUAAUAACUUUGUAUGAAAAAGAAAGGAUCUUAAUUAACUUUUGUGAUCAAAUAUCAUUAAUCAAGUUCUCCGAUUAAUUUGUGAGUUGGAAUUUGUCUAUCCAUUAAUUUCCUUAAAUAUUCUCGUUGUAUAUAUAGGAUAUGAGAAUGAUUACUUCUCUCCAAUUUUUUUUUUUUUGGUCAAUGUAGUAUAUAGUACUGAAAAGAAAAUUGAUUCUGUAUAAUAUAUAGUACUGAUUAAAGUUGCUACAAUUUUUAUAAGAUUUAUAAACCCAAGACACCAGCGGAUGGCUUCCUGGAAAUUGCAAUAGGUGAUGGAUAUUGAGCGCUACCUUAUUAUUAAAUCAAUAUUUAUAUCAUAGUCUCUUCAAUAUUAGGACAGGAAAGCUUUCGUUUUUCUCUGGCCAACUUGCCCACAAAUCAUUAUCGAGCCAAUGACGGCAGCGGAUUGACAGCAAUUUCCAACGAGGUCAUUGCCAAGUAACUUACCCUGCAUUUGCCCCGACUUGAACGCUCUUUCAUCAACCAUUAAUUGUCUUUUUUAGAUUAAUAUGGAUGUUUAGUUAAUCUUGCAUGAUUUUUGAUUAAUUUUAUGGAUCCUGAAGUUAAUGAUUAUGUAAAUUUUCAAUAAUUCUGAGAUUUGUGUGACUCAAACUGAUAAUUUUUAAAAAGCAAAUACAGAACCUGGCCAAUUAAAUUAUAUUUUUUAGAGUUGCCAUUAAUUAUUAAUUAACCCGCUCAUUAGUUAAUUAUUGAGCUGUUAGUUGCUUUUCUAGCUCUUAAUUGGACCUACAAGAUAGUAAUUAACAAAAUAAACAAGAAUAAACAAGCUAAUUUAGGCAAACCCCGCUACUGGGUAAGCCAGCCUUGGUUUAACAGUUGAAAGAGCAAUAUAGGUAGGUAGGUAGGAUUGAGCUUGGAAGGUAACAUGUAAAAGCUCAUUUUUACGCUACCAUUUCAUUCAUGCCGCCGAAAUUAGCCCGUGUCGCCAUUUAUUUUCUUCAAACGCAUUAAUUUUGACAUCCUACGCGGUUUCUUAUGCCAAAAAGAUUCAUGGGUUCCAAGCAAAAUCUGGAAUAGUAUUAAUAUAUAGUUAGUUAAUUAAACAAGUAAUAUGAUCCUUAGCCAAUAAGAAGAUUUUGUAUUCUUCGUUAAUAAGAUAUGUAUUUCUAGGAAUUUUGAUCUGGCUCACGUAAAAAGUAAUUAGAUCCAUACUUACAAGGAACCUUUGACGUGUGAGAAAUAUGAUGGUAAUAUAAGCUUGAAUCGAUCUAAGUUUAGAUUCCACACAAUGCAGUUAAUUAUAAGUAAUAUGAAAAUAUCUCUUUCUAGAAUAUUAAUUUUUAUGGCUUGAGCAAAUAGUAGGAGCUGCAAUUUGACAUAUAAUUAGCAGCUGCUAUGCAUUUUCCGCCGAUUUUUUGUUCAAGUUUUGUCGCUUAGAAGCAACUUGAAGAAAAGAAAAAAGAAAAGGUCUGUGCUCUGUGGGGCCUUCGUAUAUUAUAUUCUUCCUCAUCCCUCUUACAUGCCUUGCCUCCCAAGUAGAACGAGCGAAAUGAAACGAUGCUUCCUGCGCUCUCUCUAUAUAUAGACCCACUUCUCAAUUCAUUCUCCGUAUCCUCAUACAUACUUAGAGUUCAAGAUAUAAAAAAACAACUAGAGCUAGAUUUCUAAGAUUUCCUAAGCCCCCAAGAUGACUGUAAGAUAUAUCUUUCUCUUGCUUUCUAUAUAUAUAUAUAUCCUUCUCUUUACACUUGCAUGAUGUGUUCUUCCCUUUGUCUUGACAAAUGCUAUCUAUAUUCUUGUUACCUGUCCUUUUUCUAGCCAGCUAAUAGUUGUGCUAGCCAUUAUAAAACGUACAUGUUGUUCAUCAAAUAAUUAUUAGAAUCGAUCACACAACCGCAUGCUACUCCUUUAUUUGAUAAGAGCAGUGUUAUUAAUCUAGCUCAUAUGGCUAAAAUAAAAGGUAGAUUCUGGCCUAGCUAGCAUACAAUAUCGCCAGAAGGGUUAACUAUAUAUCCAUUUAGUGCUUCAUCUAUUAUAGUAUGAACUCCAUUAAACUACUGUCGUUCUUCUUCUUGUCAAUCAGAAUUAAGUUGUGUUCAUUUUGUAGCCAAAAAGUUGGCAUUAUAUAUAGUCGUAUUUGGUUUUGAUGCUGACCAAACUAAGCCUUUGUUUUCAUGUUUCAGAUCACAGAGAUGCGAGUGCAUAUGGAUUGUGCUGGCUGCGAGACCAAGAUAAGGAAGGCUAUUCGAAAGCUAGAUGGUAUUUUAUGUUGCGUUCAUUUCAAGUGUUUUGAUUGUUUCUCGUGUGUGUAUAUAUGACGUACUGAUGGUUAAACAUGGUUUUUGUUUGCUUCACAGGAGUGGAUGAUAUCGAUAUAGACAUGGCUAUGCAGAAAGUAACAGUGAUGGGAUGGGCAGACCAGAGAAAGGUUCUUAAAGCAGUGAGGAAGACAGGGAGAAGAGCCGAGCUAUGGCCAUACCCUAACAAUCCAGAAUCCUACAACUUCAACCAGCAAUACUAUUAUCAGAAGCAACAUCAUGAAACAAAAGUAGUUAAUCACUAUACAAAAAUGCCUACCUCUUCGUACAACUACCACAAGCAUGGCUACAAUGACGAGGAGUUUGGUCGCUAUCAAAAGCCACCUUAUGCCACCAUUUUUGAUGAAGAGGCUAGUGCCAUGUUCAGUGAUGAAAAUCCUCAUGCUUGCUCCAUCAUGUAAUGGCAUGACUUGAACAAUAUCUUUGAAUUUUCUUGUCAUAUUUGUAUAAAAGAUGUAUUUUAGCUGAGUUGAAUGAAAUAUACAAUAACGUUAAUUCCUUGAUGUAUUAUACAGUAUAUUAAAUUAAACAGGCUUAGUAUUCAUUCCACUGUUUACCUAGACAUGAAUUAUUGUGGAUUGAAGUGUCUUUGCCAUGGAAACAUGCUAAGCAUGCAAUAGCGGUGGAGUUGUCUUUUUUAUAUGAUGCAUUUGAUAUUAAAAAAUGAUUGCAAAUAAAAUGAUCAAUUCAAAUUUUAUUAAGUAUGGCAAAACUACCUGCUCCAAGCGCGCGGGGCAUGACAUAGCUACCAGACACCUGGUGCUGGGGCAUGGCAUGACUGUCAUACCUAAAGUACCCAGGUCAAGCAGGGCAGUCAGACCCCAGCACUCGGGUUAAGUAUGACAGUCAGACCCAAGCCUUUGAGGUUUUAUUUAAGCUACUAGUGUAAAUGAAUUGUUUAUAGAAUGAUUUUGCCUUUUAUUUUGCAAUUUUGUGUAUAUUAUUUUUCAAAUAGAAAAAUGGUUUAAUUACACUUUUCUCUCGUUUAAAUAAUCUUCAUAUGCAUUAAAUUAGAAAGUAGGUAAAUUCAUAUACUUACAUUAGAUUAUAUGCAAAACCAUUUAUUAUUAUUAUUAUUAUUACUAUUAUUAUUACCUGUUGUACAAUAUUUUAGAAGAAUAAUUAAACUAGUGAGCAUGUAUUGUUUAAUUUAUCACAACAUGAUCAUUUUAAUUAAAUUAGUUGUCCAAGUAAAAAUUAGAAAACAUACAAGUUUAGAUUAUAAACUUGUAAUAAUAUAUAUCAUAGCAAACAUGUAAUCAAAGACUAAAAAACAUAAAGAUACUAACAUGUAUACUAAAAAUAUAUAUGAAGUAGCACAAGAGAUUUAAUUACAAUCCUAGCAUAUAUAUUAAUUAUAUAAAAUAUUCAUGUUUAAAUUAAAAGAAAAAAAUAUAUUUACUUGUUGAAACACUUUAAAAAUAAUGAUAUUUUUAUUGUUUUCAAAGAUUUUUUUUUCCCCAUAAAACUUUAUUGUUUCUCACUUUGUGCAAUUAGAAUGUUUGGAGUAAGUCUCACAAGAUUCCAUCAAUAACACCUUGUUUGGAUGUAUUUUUAAACAUGGUCAACAAACCAAGAAAAAGAACUCAAGUAUUUCUCAACAAAGAUUAAACAUAAACUCUAGAUUAUAAGAAAAACAAAGCUUAAAAAUAGAGGAGAAAAACUAAAAAUCUAAGGUUAGGAAGAGUUUGAAAAUUAUGAAAAAAUAAUGCACAAAAGUCUUCCUACAACCUUCUAGAAUCAAAAUUGAUAAGAAUUAAUUAUGAUAAGUAACAUAAUAAAUCCUUUUAUUAUCAACUUUGAUUACCCGUUAUAAAAACGGAAUCAAACCUGUCAGUUUUGGUUUUAAAGAGCUGGAAAAAUUGUUUAGGUUAUGAAGAGUCAGUUCUAGAAAUUUUUUUUGAAGAAGUUAAUUAGAUUUAAUUCAUUGGUUGGACAAAACAAUGGCCUAGAAAAAUAAUUUUUAUUGGAUUAGAUCCAAAUCUAAAAUUAAAAAAUAAAAUCUUUUGUAAUCUAAUAAACCCAAGCCCAAGCCUAAGGCAUGAGUAUGAGCCGAGUUAGGCUACGUGUAUGCAUUUAGAUGAGGAUUUAAGCCUAAAACUAACUUUGUUUAAAUUUCUCCCUUCUAACAACUUUAGUGUCAUUCGAAACCAAUAUAACUUUUCACAUUUCCAUUAUAUAACACAACAAGCAAAGUUUUUUUUUUUUACAUUGGAUAAAAGUUUUUAAAGAGAUUUGAGUUUUAAAAUAUGUCAACAAGUGGUUAUUUGAGAUCAAAUUUUUAUAAAAACCAUAAUUUAUUUAAAUCAUAUUAAUGUUUCAUAUUAAAAAGCUCAUGUUAAAUAUUAGAUUUCAAUAAAGUUUUAAACUUUAAAAAUAAAUGGACCUCAUUUUCAAUUUGACAAUAAAUGUGCCAUAACCAUGUUUUAAACAAAAUUUUCAACAUUAUUAUUAUUAUUAUUAUUAAAAACUAUAGGUUUUGUAAACAUAUAGGAUGUAUUAUUUAAAGUUUUUAGUUGAGAUAUUUGAAAAAUAAUAUAUAAAAUAGGGACUAAAAUAAAAUUUUAUGGGUCGUCCCCUCUAGCCUUAGCAUAGCUCCGAUUCUAGUUGAAAAAUAGAAUAACAUAUUGGUUUGUGCUCCGUAUUAGGUUAAUAAUAAUUUUUUAUUUCAAAUGUAAAAAAACAUGAAGCGUGAUUUUAAGUGUCUUAGAUCUAGUUGCGGAGUCAAACUCAAUAGCUUUGGGUUUGGAGCAGAGCCAUAUCCAAUAUCAUUGGGUCUGGUUAUUUUUGUUUGUCAUCACACCAAAAUAAUACAAAAACAUCAGAAAAUAUUAAUUUGAAUUAAAAAAAAAAUCAAUUUUUUUUAAAAGCAUUUUUGAAACACAAAAACAAACAUGCUUUAAUAAAAAAAUUCGACCCAACUUGAAAUGACAAAAAAUUAUCAUCACCCAACUUUUGUACAAUAUAAAAAAAGUCACAUCAAUUUAUUUCUUCUUUACGGUAUGAAAAAAAAUCAAUUAGAGAAAAGAAAAAAAUUAAAGAGGAAAAAAAUAAAAUUGGAAAUAUCAUAAAAGGAAAAAAAUUAAAGGAAAAGAAAUUAGUUGCCGGUGUAUUGGGCGCUGCUCUGCUAAGCGCUAUUCAUGGUGCUACUGUAGAAAAUAUUUUAUUUGAAAAUGGUGAUGGUGCAAAUACAUUUCAUGCUUUUAACCCAACUCAAGCAUUUUUACAUUUGAUAAAAAAAAAUGUUAUUGACCCACUGUAGAGCACGGGUUAAUAUGCUAGCUAUUAUAUUAUUAUGUAACGGUUAUUUUUUAAAACAAUAUAUUGAGAUAAUAUUUUUUUAUUUUUUCAAAUUGAUUUUUUAUAUCAGCACUUCAAAAAAAUAAAAAAAUAUUAAUUUGAAUUAAAGAAAAAAAUAAAAAAAUUUCAAAUUCUUCAUAAAGCAUUUUUGAAAGGAAAAAGCAAGCAUGCUUUAUAAAGGAAAUUCAAGCCAACCUCAAAUGAAAAAACAAUUAUCAUCACUCAACUUUUGUACAAUAUCAAAAAAGUCCCAUCAAUUUAUUUCUUAUUUACUGUAUGAAAAAAAUUAAAAAAAAAAUUUAAAGAGGUAAAAAAAAAAAUUGGAAAUAUCUGGCUGCCCAGCCGGAUCCAAUAGUGUUGGGUCUGGCAGCCAAGCCAGACGCAACAAUAUUUUUUGACUAAUAAACAAAAAAGACAACGCCCCCAUGUGCUACAGUGUUGUCAUAGUGCAAACACUCUAUAUUUAUAGUGUGGUCCACAGUGCAAUAAGUCUAUGUCCACAGUACUAUUUUUUAAAAUAUUGUUUUUUUAAAAAUAUAUUGAGAUAUUAUUUUUUUAUUUUUUAAAAUUUAUUUUUCAUAUCAUCACAUCAAAAUAAUAAAAAAACAUCAAAAAAUAUUAAUUUGAAGUAAAGAAAAAAGUAAAACAUUUCAAUUUUUUUAAAAGUAUUUUUGAAACGCAAAAAUAAACGUGCUUUAAUAAAUAAAUUCAACAUAACCUGAAAUGAAAAAACAAUUUAUCAUCACCCAACUUUUGUACAAUAUAAAAAAAGUCACAUCAAUUUAUUUCGUCUUUACAGUAUGAAAAAAAAAUCAAUUAGAAAAAAGAAAAAAAUUAAAGAGGAAAAAAAAUAUAAUUGAAAACAUCUUAAAAGAAAAAAAAUAAAGGGAAAGAAAUUAGUUACCGGUAUAUUGGGCACUGCUCUACUAUUCGCUAUUCAUGGUGCUACUGUAGAAAAUAUUUUAUUUGAUGAUGGUGAUGGUGCAAAUACAUUCCAUGUUUUUAACCCAACUCAAGCAUUUUUACAUUUGAGAAAAAAAAUGUUAUUGACCUGCUGCGGAGCGCGGACUUAUAUGCUAGCUAUUAUAUUAUUACGUAACGGUUAUUAUUUAAAAUAUAUAUUUUUUAAAAAAAAUAUUGAGAUAAUAUUUCUUUAUUUUUUCAAAUUGAUUUUUAUAUCAGCACUUAAAAAACAUAAAUAAAAUAUUAGUUUGAAUUAAAGAAAAAAUAAAAAAAUUUCAAAUUCUUUUUAAAGCAAUUUUGAAAGGCAAAAACAAACUUGUUUUAAAAAAGAAAUUCAAGCUAACCUCAAAUGAAAAAAAAAUUAUUAUCACUAAACUUUUGUACAAUAUAAAAAAAAAGUUCAUCAUUUAUUUCUUCUUCACUGUAUGAAAAAAAAAUUAAAUAAGAGAAAAAAAAUCUAAAGAGGCAAAAAAAAAAAUUGGAAAUAUCUGGCUACUCAGCCGGACGCAAUAGCAAGCCAGACCCAAGAUCGAUGGGUCUGGCUGCGAGCCAGACCUAAUAACGAUGAGUUUGGUGGCCAAACACGCGAGCAUUUUUUGACUAAUAAACAUAAAAGACAACUCCCCCAUGUGCUACAGUGUUGUCCAUAGUGUAAACACUCUGUAUCUACAGUGUGGUCCACAAUGCAAUUAGUCUAUGUCCACAAUACUAUUUUUUUAAAUAUUUUUUUAAAAAAAUAUAUUGAGAUAUUAUUUUUUAUUUUUUAAAAUUUAUUUUUUAUACCAUCUCAUCAAAAUAAUACAAAAACAUCAAAAAAUAUUAAUUUGAAGUAAAGAAAAAAGUAAAAAAAAUUCAAUUUUUUUUAAAAGUAUUUUUGAAAUGCAAAAACAAACAUGCUUUAAUAAAUAAAUUCAACUUAACCUGAAAUGAAAAAAACAUUAUAAUCACCCAACUUUUGUACAAUAUAAAAAAAGUCGCAUCAAUUUAUUUCUUCUUUACAAUAUGAAAAAAAAUUCAAUGAGAGAAAAUAAAAAGAAGUUAAAAAGAAAAAAAUAUAAAAUUGAAAAUAUCUUAAAAGAAAAACAAUUAAAGGGAAAGAAAUUAGUUACCGGUGUAUUGGGCGUUGUUAUGCUAUGCUAUGCGCUAUUCAUGGUGCUAUUGUAUAAAAUACUUUAUUCGAAGAUGAUGAUAAUGCAAACAUAUUCCUUGCUUUAAACCCAACUCAAGCAUUUUUACAUUUAAAAAAAAAGUAUUAUUGACCCGCUGCGGAGUGCGGGCCAAUAUGCUAGUUAUCAUAUUAUCAUCACCUAACUUUUGUACAAUGUAAAAAAGUCUCAUCAAUUUAUUUUUUCUUUACCGUGUAAAAAAAAUUUAAAUAAGAGAGAAGAAAAAAUCUAAAGAGGAAAAAAAAUUAAAAAUAUCUAGGGGCUCAGUCAGACUUAAUAGCAUUGGGUCUGGCGGCCAAGCCAGACCAAUCAACACUUUUUGACUAAUAAACAAAAUAGACGACUCCCCAGAUACUAUAGUGUUGUCCAUAGUGUAAAUACUCUAUGUCUAUAGUAUAAUGAGUUGAUAUCCUCAACACCUACAUAAUGUUUUUCCACGUCGUUUAAAGUAUAUAGAAUAAUUUGUUAUUUAUAUCAUCAUAUAAUAAAAAAACAUAAUUUACUAGUUUUAUAUUCGAUAGUUUUUUUCAUCAAGCAACCUCAUACUCAAGGUUUUUUUUCUUCUUUUUUUAAUGCAAUUUAAGACAGCUACCCUAUAAUACAAUGGAAAAAGGUUGAAUUUCCAGAGGAGUCUGUUUGAAUAAUACAUAUAUUUUGCUUCCAUUCUGAAAUAUCUCACGUGGUACUAAAAUUAGCAAAAGAUAAUUGUUCUUUGUUCUACGUUGAAAUGACUCAUUAUAAAUAAAUCAGUUAAAAUGAAAAAUAUUUUUUUCUUAAAAAAAUGGAAAAGAAAUCUGUGGAAAUGAUUCCAACAGGAAAAAGAAUAAAAAACAUAAACAAUCACCAAAAUUAAUAAGUAUUAAUAAUUAGGCAUACUAAAUGGAUUCAUACCUUAUAAAAAAUUAAUUUAAAAACGUAGAGUUCAUAUUCUAAUAAUAAUAAAAUAUUGACUUGAUUAAAUUCAAUUAACUGAAUUAAAUUAAUCAAAUCUAGUUGUAUUUAUAUCAAAAAAUAAAAUAAUAAAAUAUUAUUUUUAGAGAAUAUUUUUAAAGAAUAUUUGAGAGUGCAGUAACUAUUAUUUUUUAAAUUGUUUUUUGAUCUGUAUCAAAAUAAUAUUUUAUUUUUAUUUUUUUAAAAUUAUUUUUGACAUUGAUUAAUUAAAAAAAUUAAAAAUUAUAAAAAAUAACAAAAAAUAAUUUUUUAAAAAACUUUAUUUAAAAUAAUUUUAAACAGUCCCUUAAUAAAACUAGAUAAUUCGAGUUGAUUAGAUGAAUCAAUAAUCUAUAUUAUUUUUGUUUUUUUACAAAUCUGUAUCUACCUGACCAUCAAGUCAUACAAUUGGCAGAACCCCAUUGGCUAGAACAAAUAAUAAACAUCUUUGACUCACACUAAUUUAUUCUUGUUGUUUGGGCCUAAUAGUUACAAAAGAAGCAAUCUAAUCUCAACUCAGACAUGGGCAUCCAUCCAAACGUAUGGGCCUGGCGAUACCAUCACCAUCAUGAUGUUGAAGAUAAUGGCAGCGGAACAUUCGGAACCGGGAAUUUUGGAAAAUUUCGGCCACGUUUCUCUCUCUGUUUUGCUGAGCUGAUAGGGCGUGCCGUAAAGGUGGGAAUAUAUACAUAUAAAGAAGCAAGGGCAUUGCAGAUGGCAACAGCUUCUUCGGCAUCGUUAUUCCAAGCUGCUCGAUAUGGAUAUUCUCCUUCUCCAAGAUUUAGUAAUAAUUGUCAUUAUAGUGUAAGAAAUGGAGGUGUAGCUGUAGGUGUAGGUUCUUCUUCUUCCGCUUCUUCUCCUUCUUCUUCCGCCCACCACGGAUUCAACUUCUCUUCUUCUGGUUGGUAUUUCUUUCUUCCUUUCUAACAAUUCUUCUUUUUAUUUCUGAAUUCCAGCAGCCAUUAUUAUUAUUAUUAUUAUUAUUAUUAUUAUUAUUAUUAUUAUUAUUAAAAUUGUAAUUAUUAAUUAACCUCAAUUGGGUAUUUGUGAAGGUUUGGAUAAUUGCGAGAUUGAGUUGAUUUAGGCUUUUGCUAUAGGAUUGUGGGAUACUGCUCUUAUGCUCCUCCCUCCCUCUUUUAUGUUGAAAGUAAUCACUGGAUUUUUGUUUUGUUUUGUUUUCUCUUUUUGACUUUUUGGGUAUCGAUUUUGCUUGUAAUUAGCCUCAUCUAGCUUCAUGCCAGGAUUAUUAUUAUUAUUUUUCCUGCAAGUGUUCUUGCGCUAGCGUUAUAAAUACUGCACAAAAAUGGAAUGGUGGGGGGAGAUGUAGAGAAGGUACAGACUUGGAGAGAAAAGCUGCCAGGGACCAAAUUCCAUUGUUAGGAGAGACAAAUAUCGCCCACAAACAGCUUUUUGUUUCGUCUUAAGUAUUACAUGCCUUCCAUCUACACUGAACUAGUUUAUCAAAGUGUGUUGAGCGGUCCCCUAUUGAAUUUGAAAAUAAAUUACAUAGCAACUCUACUGUAGAGAGGACAGUCACAGAAAAGAUUUAAAAGAGUCAAACUUAGGUGUGGGUGUUUGAUCUAGGCAUGCUGUCCCAUCCAAAAUAAAUCCCAUUGGUCUUAAAUGUCUUGGUAACAUCACCAGAUUCGACCUCUCAAUAGCUCAGCAUACUGUCGUCUCAAGAGAAAUCUACCAGCUGUAAUUUAGGUAUCCUAAGCACAAGCUCAGGAUACGGGAUUAUUAUGUCCUUCUGGAAAAAUUAUGCAUGAUUAACUUCCAAAAACAAUUUUGUUUUUCAUAAUAAGCGAUCACACAUUAUAUUGGCAAUUUAUAAAAAGCUGCUAUUAUUUUUCCAAGCCUCUGUUUGUUGAAACGUUGUUGAAUAUCUCUGUUAGUAUAACCUGGCCUGCUUAACUUAUCUCUUGCUUGCACAAACAGGUUUGUUGCGUCUGCGUGCAUUUUCUUUGUGUGUGUGUGUGUGUGUAAUAAGCAAAUAUGCUCUGGUUUUCUUCUGUUUUUUUUUUGCAAUUCUAUAUGCAAGAUUAUAUGUAUUCAUGUAUGUUCAACUGUCCUUGAGGAUAUUAGAUAAUCUUUUGCAGGUGUAAAUAAUAACUGGAAACCCCAAGGCAUUAAAUCUCAAGCUACGAAUACUGCCACUAAAGGAAGAUUUUCAUCAUCCAGCGGCGCAAUGAAUGGGAAAAGUGAACCUGAUCAUCUUCUUGUUCUCGUACAUGGCAUUUUGGCUAGGUAUAUGUUGACCAAACACAGUUCACCAAGUAAAUAUACCCAGUCACUAUAAUUUAGUGGUAACAUUUCUUUUUGGCUUUUAAUUCUCAACAAGUACUAAAUUGAUAUCAUUCACAAAUGCAGUCCAAGUGACUGGACAUACGUGGAAGCAGAGUUAAAAAGGCGUUUGGGAAAAAACUUUCUAAUUUAUGGUAUGUUCAUCCCUUAUUCUGGUGAUCUCUUCUUUCUUACAUGCCUAACCAUUGUGUAUUUCGAUAUUGUUUUUGGAAGUUGAUAAAUGGUAUAGAAAAUAAUCAGAAAGAUGAAGAAAAUUUCGAGCAUCCACAAACACCAAAAUAGGGGAUGAUAGAUUGAAAUGUUUUUGUCACCAAAGUAGAGUGGCUAUGACUCCGUGUUGAAGUACUUGAUGUCUGUUCAGUUAUCAGAGGCAUGUGGUCAGAGUUUUCUGCAAAUCUGAUAUCUUAUUUUUUCAACUAAUGACUUUUGUUUUUAUAUGAAUACUGUUAUCAAAUCUGUAUUUAUUAUACAAUUAGUCAGAGAUAGGCCGGGAAUCUGGUCAGUUGAAAUUUAUUGUUUUUUUGUCUUUCUGCAGCAAGUUCGUGUAACACCUACACUAAAACAUUCUCUGGGAUUGAUGGAGCAGGAAAGCGACUUGCAGAUGAAGUGAGUACUGACAUCGUUGCAAAAUAUAUUUAUUUAGUUUUCACUUAUGGUAGUUUCGAGUAGGUUCUUGGCUUGUUGGGAAUGGAGGUGCUGCAUAUUCAAUGAUUUUCCUCAUUAUCAAUUUUAUGAACAGGUUAUGCGAGUUGUACAGAAGAGAGAGAGCCUGAAAAGGAUUUCCUUUUUAGCCCAUUCUCUAGGUGGCUUGUUUGCAAGACAUGCUAUUUCUGUGCUUUAUUCAGAAAUUGCUGUAAAUACUGGCCAAUCCAUUGAUGUGGCUGCUGAUACUUCGCUGCCUAAUUCAAAUACAACUUGUUCCUCAAGACGAGGUAUGAUUGCCGGGUUGGAACCAAUUAAUUUUAUUACCCUGGCAACUCCACAUCUUGGGGUGAGAGGCAGAAAGCAGGUUUGUUCUGGACACUGGUUCUUAAUAUGUAGUUGUAGUACCAUGUAGUGAUCAUGCAAUAUUGACGAAUCUGGGCUCCAUUGCAUCACCUAUUACCUUAAGCUCUUUUUUUUUCUUUCAAGUUAUCUUACAUUAUCCUAUGAAUGAUCUCUUGAUAAACAUAAAUCUAAAUGUUCUUUUUUGGUUGUUUGCAACACUAUGGUUUGGAUGUUUAUUGGUUGUUUGCAUCAGUGUCAGUCAUUUGCAGUACAGUUUAGGAUUAAAAACAAUGCAACGUAAGCUGAACUUAAAUAAUUUUCUUUACUGUCAAUAAUCUUUUAUUAUCUUCUUUGAAUAUGUUAAUUUUAAUUCUCAUACAGAAUGGACAGCUAUUAUCUGUAUGUUAUAAUUUUUUUCCUCACAUAAUUGGUAUUUUGCUUAGCAUUCACAAAGUGCAGUUCGUUUAGCUAUUUUUGUUUUCUUUUCAGCUUCCAUUUCUCUUGGGUAUUCCCAUCUUAGAGAAACUUGCUCUUCCAAUAGCUCCUAUUAUUGUGGGUAGAACUGGCAGUCAACUGUUUCUCACUGAUGGUAAACCUAACAAACCAUCUCUUCUUCUGAGAAUGACAUCAGACUCUGAAGAUGGGAAGUUUUUGUAAGUAGAAAAAUGCCAUUGUGAUUGGAGACAACAAUUCCUUUUUCUGCCAGCGUAACCUAAUGGUUCUUAAAUGUUUCUUGCUUUUUUCUCUCCAGAUCUGCUCUUGGUGCAUUUAGAUGUCGUAUUCUUUAUGCAAAUGUAUCUUAUGAUCGUAUCCUACUACAUAUCAUCUUCUAUUUUGCACAUUUAGCUGUCUUAUUUCUCGGCAUUUGCUCAGAUCCUUGACAUUAACUAGAUAUGGUUGGUUGGCGUACAUCCUCCAUAAGGAGAGAGAUGGAACUUGUCACGGUGAGUUGAUAGUUCUUAUUUACUUUGUUUGACACAACUAUUGUUAACAAUCUUUGACCGCAUAAUUGAAGAGACCAUUCAAGUUAAAGCAUAAUAAAUAAAUUAAAUGCUGUUAUCUAUGAGUUGCUUUAUCAUUAUGAGUGCAAGCAUAAUAAGUAAGGCCGAGUGUCCUUGUAGAAAUUGGAGUGAGUUUGUGUCCUUCAUAUUCAUUUUUCAAGAAGAAAUGCUGAUGUUGAUUAUUCUCGGUAUUUUAUAAAUGAGACUUUGAUAGAUGAUAUUUUCCUUUUCUCAUUAUGUUUCCUCUUUACUUCAAAUCUGUUAUCUGUUUUUAUGAAUCAGUUAACUUGAUUUCAUAGUUAAAAUCAUCAUGAUAUUAGAUAAAUGGUUCCUGCAUUUUGUUCAUUUUCUUUUUAUGAGAAAUUAUCAACUUUUUCACUGAGAUAUUUUACAAGUCUUGGGAUAAAACCGUAUGUCAGGAAAAUCAUAAUAGGCAAGUAGGGAUUCUACAACAGCCAUGUCUAGCUAGAGUUACUACCUUUGUGGAAUUAGCGGUGCAGUAUAGAAUUCAAACAUUGCUGCAAAGAACUAGAAUUGGGUAUGGAUAACUUUCUCUUGGACUCGUCCAAUUAAAGCAACAUUUCUAGGAAAUUUGAGGUCAAGAUUACUUUGAAAUGUAUUCUUUUAGCAUAACUCUUCUAAUAUGACCUCUGAAGACUUGAGUGGAAAUAAGAUGCAGGGAGGCUUUGGUUCUGUUCAAUAAAUAUGUAAAUUGAUCAUUAAGGUUGCAUUAAGGUUGGAAGGGAAGUAUUUGAGAGUUUGUUUUCAAGGGAAGUUCUUUCGUAAGUGAAAUAUUGAGUGCUUCAGGAUCUGGCUACUCUUGAGUAGUAAAUAUGUAAAAAAAAUAGGGUGCAAAUUAGGUAGCAGUGGCCUCGGAUUCUUAGUGCUAUGUCCUGGAAAUAUUUUUUUUCCUCGUGAAUUCUGAGUGCUUGAGGAUCAGAAGUGCGAACAUGUGAAAAAUCUUUUGGAAGUCUAAGAAAAGGAAUUAAUCUAAAUGUAAGAAACUGUCUUGCUUCUUGGAAAUCACUAAUUCCAAAUGCUACAUGUUAUUGUAGCUUUCAAGCUAGAAAGAGCAGCAAUGGAUAAUUAUUUGGAUAAACAAAUGCGGUGGAAAUAUCAGUGUUAAGAUAGAUUUCUAAUGUUUCUGCAUCGUUUUGACAUUUCUAAAUUGACAGCCCCCUAUGCGAUCUUUGGAUGGUUACAAGCACGUUGUAGAUGUUGAAUAUUGUCCCCCAGUUUCUUCUGACGGCCCCCAUUUUCCUCCAGAAGCUGCCAAAGCAAAGGAGGCAGCACAGAACGAGCCCAGCAUGAAAAAUACAGCAGAGUACCAUGAACUCAUGGAAGGUAAAACAAUACGUGGCAUUUAAGAGUUCCCCCCCAUAUUGAACGCCCCCCAUUCAAUAUCUUUGAAUUAUCUGUUCAUUGUCCCAUGACAAGAGUAAUGAUUGCUUUCAGUAUGUUAACAGAGGAAAUGAUAAGUGGCUUGCAGAGGUUGGGAUGGAAAAAAGUUGAUGUCAGCUUUCACUCAGCAUUCUGGCCCUUCUUUGCUCAUAACAACAUACAUGUACUGACGCCAUUUUUAUUUUGGGUUAUGAUAACUUUACUUUGCUGAUUCACUUCUUGAUUUAACUUUUUUUUUUUCACAUUUCAGGUGAAAAAUGAAUGGUUUCAUAAUGCUGGCACUGGGGUGAUCUCUCAUGUUGCAGACAGCCUAAAGCAACAAGAAUCCGCCAUGUAUAUUGCUGCUAGCUUGUAGCUCUCAAGUACUACAAGGUAGGGCACUUGUUCAAAGAUGUAAAAUAAUUGAAUUGAUGAUGAAAUAUAAAAAAACUGCUUCUCCAUAAUUUAUUUAUGCUUUUAUUCUGUCUACUUCAAUAAUUUUUUGUCCAUAGCUUGCUGCUAAACCUUUAAGCCUAGAAUAAUUGCUUCAAAGUUGGGUUGUUAUAGAUAAAAAUUCAUAUAAAUUACUAAUGAGAUAUUUUCUAAAUCUUUUUAGGUUUAGAUGAAUUGCUAUGUCUUUAGAUGUUAACUUUUUUUUUCAUUUUGUGGCCUUUAGGUGUUUUAUAAUGUUGUUUACUGUGUACUAUUUAAAAAAUAAAAGGUAUAAUAUUCUAUUUAUAGAAAAACCUGAACACCUUAUAAAUAGUUAAAUAUCAAUUUGCUACUAGAAUAUUACAUACAUUAUUUCAGGGUAAUUUUAGAAAUUUAUUCAAUCAAGUUCUUAUUUGAUUUUUCCAGGUUUAAAAUUCUAAUUCUAUAUAUAAAUUACAUUUUAAUAAUUAAUUUUUAAAAUUUAUUUACAAUCAAGUCACACUUUAUUAAUUAUUUUAGUUUAAUUUCUGACCAAUGGUUCUGUGUGUAAUUUAAAAUGUUUUCUAAUAAAUUGAUUUAAAUAUAAAUCACAAUCCUAAAUAAAGUAUAAUUAAAUAAAUUAAAUUAUUAUUAACUCAAUAAUUAAUUAAUUUAUAUUUAAAUAUCAAAUGUAAUAUCUAAUAACAUGAUGCUUAAAUAUUAAAAAAAAUCAAAAGUAAAUGGAAUUAAAGGUGAAAAUCAAAAGUAAAUGGAAUUAAAGGUGAAAAUCAAAAGUAAAUGGAAUUAAAGGUGAUAAAAUUACCAUUAUAUUUGAAUUUUAUAACUUUAUCAUCAAAUUAAAAGAAAAUUAAUAAAACCCUAACAGAUAAAUUAAAAUUAAUAAAACCCUAACAGAUAAAUUAAAAAAAAUAAAAAAACUACCCAUGCUAGAACGAACUCCAAUAAAUAAUGCUAUUAACAUGUACACCUGUCCUUGGAAAAAGCUUUAUCUCGCUAAAAGAAAUCUCAGCAAGAACUUUCCAAGAUCCAUUUACAGACGAAUAGAUCUCAAAUUCAUAUCUUUCAAGAUCAGAUGCAAAAUCACAAACCAACUUGUAUUCAACAACAAAGUUUAUUAGUGAAGGAUCAAAGGCGAGCACAACGAUGGAUGUGGUGUGCAUGGCAACAAAAGAACAAUCCAAUCAUCGCCCAAUUUCCUAGAUUGAUGAGACACCUGCUGCUUCCUAUACUUAAAAAGCUUCUUCUAGACGCAUAGAAAUUGACAUUAGUGAUGGGUAGAACACUGCGUGAUUGAUAUGAUCUUCAUCAACGCAGAGGAAAAAACAAUAAAAAUGCUCGCAACUGUUCCUUUUCCACUGCAGUCUAGGCUUGUGCUUCUCUAGUAAAAAGAUGUAUUCUAUUCUAUUCUAUUCUCGUGAUCGCUCCACCAUCCAAUUUAACAAUCCCAGCUCUAUUUAGUAAUACAAGGGUGUGCCAUAAAAAUAACGUAUAAUCUAAGGGGUGUAAUUUAAAAUUUUUUAUUUUUUUUUCUUGAAAAUGAUUUUUUAUAUAUAUUUUUGAAUUAUUUUGAUGUGAUAAUAAAAAAAUAAAUUUUAAAAAUUAAAAAAAUAUUAUUUUAAUAUAUUUCUAAACAAAAAAAAUAUCUGUAAUUAUUGUAAAUAUUAAUUUAUUAAGCAUAAUUUCAUUGUAAAUGGAGUGAGUACAUCAAGAAAACCAAAACUCCAUUUCAACUUUUCUAAGAGCGUGUUUGGCAGUGUGGUUGUGGGUGCUUUUCAAAUAACUUUUCGUGUCAAAAUACAUGCCAAUGAUGUUUUUUCAUUUUUUAAAAAUUAUUUUUGAUAUCAGCACAUCAAAACGAUUCAAAACGUACAAACCAUAUUAAAUUUUAACAAAAAAAAAUUUAAUUUUUUUAGGAACGCGAAUUGAACCGCGUUCCAAACGCUUCCUAAAUCUAAACCUAAAACCCACCGAAUCAAUAAUUCAAACACAACAAACAAAUCCCAAAUCAAAAAAUUUGCUUAAAUGCCCAACGGCUCAAAUUCUUCGGCUAUACACCGGGUAUUGUCAGUAAAUAAGCAUUCUGCUUGUUUUCCUCCUUUCUCCUUUGUCCACUACCCUUUCUUUUACCUCCAAUUCUCGCAAUUCCAAUUCCAGUUCUAGGAAUCUCAAUUCCAAUUCCUAUGGAAUCAUUUUACGAAUCAUUUACCAUUUUCUCUCCUCCUAAGAAAUUGCCACUUCACUCUCACCACGCUUGAUUUCCAAGAAAUGGAAGAGAAUCCAAUUGUGAGAACCAGAUUCUGAGGUGACCCAUGAUGAUAAAGAGCACGAACUUGCAAAUUAACUUAGUUUUAAGAAAAGAAGAAGGGCUUGGAACACCACAAAUCAUUGUAUUGAGGGAAAUGAGAUGAUAGUAUGCCUGGUGGGGAUUGAAAAAAGAAGCCUGAUAUUCGCCAGGUCUAAGAUUUGCUCCUCUAUGAUCAUGAGCUUGAAUCCCUUUAUAUAAUCGUUAACUUUAAGAUCUGUAGGAUUAGUUAAAGUACGUGCAAGUUAAUUCAGAUACCUAUAAUAAUAAUAAUAAAAAAAAAAAAAACCUGAUCACAAAGAAAUUUAACUGGUUGUAGAUAAAAAAAGGAGUUGAAACAUGAAGCUUCCACUCCCAUUUAACAAAAUAAAAACCCAGAAAAGAAGGAGAGAAUUUCUAUCAAACAAGCACAAAAGUAGAAAGAACAAAAUUAUAUAUGAGAAGAAAUCUAAGUUGAAAAUUCGAUCCAUUUUGGAUGAAUUGAUGUGUAAUUUAUGUGUUUUUGUUAUGUUAUGUAUAAGGAUGUAUUUGUUUUUUUUUAUCUAAUUUUAAAAUUAUAUUAAUCUAAAAUGUAAUUUAUAAAAAUACAGAGAAUAGAAAUCCUGAGAGGCUUGGAAUAACAUACCUUGUAUGAUUAUUAUUUCAUUUGCAAUUAUAUAUUUUAAGACUAUUCAGGCCACUUGGUAUUUCAUAUGUAGUAUUUGGUAUGAAUUACAAUAUUCAAUCCUAAAAAUAAAUAUUAUCUCAAAGUAAUAGUUCAAUUAUUGAUCUUCUUGAUUUUGAAAAUGAACCCUCAAUCUUUAAUUUUCGGUACUUGAUAAAUUUUAUUUGAUUGAAUUGAUUCAUUUGAUUGUUCAUUAAUGCAACUAUUUUUUUUAUGAUUUUUUAUUCAUAUUACUAUGAUUAUGAUUUUGACUUUGACUUUUUUUAUAUAUAUUAUCAUAAAUUUAUAUCUUUCAAUUUUUUUUCUAUAAUAUCAUUUAUGUAUUAUGAUAAUUUCUCCUUUUUUUCCCACUCUUUUUCUAUUUUUUGUCUCAAUAUUUCUAGGAUAAGUUAAGGAAGUAAUAUUUUUAAGAAAACUUUUAUAACACCAUAUAUAUAAUUUUUAAUGCGAUUUCAUAUUUCCUACUUGUGAGAAACAAUUGCUGCAAUUUUGUUUUCAUAAAUUGUAUCACUCCAAGUAUAUUAUACACGCAUAUCAACAUGCAAAAGAUUUUUCAUUUAAGUAAAUGAGUUCAUCAGAGUUUUUCAUAUCCGUAAGCCUUUUCUAAACUUUUAACAAGGGAUUGUAAUAAUUUUUCAAAAUUAUUAGGGGCUAGAAUGAAUAUUAGUGAAAAUUUUAUUUUUAAAUGAGUUGGGUACGAUGAAUAGCUUCAACCCUCUGAAGAUCUGCAUCGUGCGCUUAUUAAUUAAUUCACACUUUCGACCUCAAUUUCUAGCUGUAAACAUUCCUGAUUCCUUGAGCAAUAGACCUAAAGCCAAUUUCUAAACAUAUUAAAGCGAUUCAUUGCAUUUAUAAAUUCGUUUUCACACUCUGUAGAACUCCCACAAUUUGCAGAAUCAUAAUUGUGUAAGCUUUCUUAUGGCUAAAAGCAAGAGAGAAGGAUAACGACAUCUACAUCAGUAUUCGUGCUUUUUUUCUCUCUUUUUUUUUAGUUUAAUAUGGGUGUUCAGGCCAGCUUGCGCGUACCUCGUUUAAUCCCACGGGCCCUGAAGUUAACGACCAUGUAAGCCUCUAGUGCUUCUUUCCUUUUAAUCAGAAAGGAUAAGGUAAUGUAUUCGUGCUUCUUUCCUUUUGCAUGAUCUCUACUUUUAUUUAUUAUGUUUUUCCUAAUUAACGUGGAUAUUCGGACUCAUUUAUGUAUAUUUUUAUUAAUUCUAUAAGUUCUAAAAUUAAUAACUAUAUAAAUUUUUAAUAAUUUUAAAAUUUAUAAAAUUUAAACAAAUAAUUUUUAAAAACAAAUUCAAUAACAAACCAGUUAAACUUCUACUACACCCUUCAUUAUUCAUUAUUCAUUUUCUUUCUUUGAGAGAUUGAUGGCCUCCCUUGUACACUACUUUCAAUCAAAUCCAACGUCGUUUCAGUGCAGCAGUGGAACUGCUAGUCGUGGAAAUAAAUCUUUGAGAGCUACUGGAUCAAUCAACAAUGAUGAAAUUGCUGCACGAUAUCAGCUGCCGUGCCGGGGUUUCUUAAAACAUAUUGUACUCUACAAGUACACACAUGAGUGCACACUAUACAUUACAAGAAACAACAAACAUGUGGAAGAAUCAUCGUGGCUAAAAUGUUUAAAUUUCUUUUCAUGUGGUUUAUUUGUUAUUUUAUAAUUAUUUGGAAUUCUUUCAAUUUUUCUAAUUUUUUUUUACAGUAAAAUUAUUUAACUAUCCUUAAAAAAAAAAUUAAUUUUGGUCUUGGAGUGUUUUCGAGAUUUUCUUUUACCAUGCACAAUGCAAUUACUCCAUUAUUCUUGGAACCAAAAAUCUUAGCCUUGGCUUUGGGGCUAUCUUUGUCAUUUCACAUUGGUAAUUUUGCAAUAAUCAUGUGGUUCUAAGGGUAAUUUGAUAAUUUUCUUGAUAAAAAUAAAAUAAUAGUAAAAAAAGCUUUUAGCUUGUUCAUUGAACAGGCUAGCGAGGGAGCCACCUGUUGUCUUAGGACGGUAUAUGUAAUGGCUCACAGCAGAGAAAAGCUAGUUUUCUUGAUGUUUGCCGAUUCGUCAUGGCAAGGUGCCAAGGUCUAUCUGACUGGGCGACGCAUGUAGAGUAAUUUCCAGUGGUUUGUCGAUGAUUGACUGUCUUCUUUUAUUUUUUCUUUUCUCUCUCUCUUGAUUUCAAUGUCUGCACUUGCAACAUUUCACAAUAAUUUUUUAAUUUGUUUUUCUUUAUAUUUUGAUCCUCGUUCUUGUUAUGUAGUUUUAAUUACUUAUCCUUCACAACAGUCUUUAAUUUCUUCUCUUCUCUCUCUCUUCACGCCUUGUUUCCACUUUGAAUUCUAAUGAUUCUGGGAAUGGGACAUAGAUGGAUGGAGUUUCAAUUUUGUUACGGUGUGGAAACUGUGGAAAUAGAGAAGCUUGAAGUUUUGGUGAUGGGUUCAACAAGGCUUUUAAAACUAUAUAGAAAAUUUGCAGAAGGAUCUUCUAGCUAAGGAAUCUUCACAAAAGCAACUGAAAGAUGAAGUUAUGAGUAUUGUGCAUGAUAUUAUGCAAGCUAAUUUCCUAGGAGACAAUAAAGAUUGUGAAUUUUUUAGUAUAAUCUUGAUUAUAUAUUGGUGGGGUAUGGAUUUUUCCGGGUAUAUCAAGUCGAUUCAGGCAAUAACUGAGACAUGGGUGAGGGUGUGUGUGUUGUAAAGUGUUAUAAAUUUAUAAAAUUCAUGAUACAAAACUGUAUUUUUUUUAAAAGAAUAGAGAGAAACAAAAAAAAUUAAAAUAGAAAGUGUUCACGGAAAAUUUUCAUUUUAAAAUCAAUAAAAAGAAAGAUCAAAAUCAAAUUUGUAAGCAGAGUGUUCCUAUGCUAAAAAAUACGAGGAUUUAGUAUUUUUUUCGUUUUUUUUUUUUAAUAAUUUGGAGUCUAAGAGUGAUAUGCAUGCAUGUGUGUGUUUAUAUGCGUGUUUAUUAUUUUUAUUUUAUAUAAAAACUUCUCAGGAACUUAUUUGGUCAAUGAUGAAGCUUACUUUGACUAGCUUUUUUUUAGACCUCAAAAUAAACUAGCUAAUAAAAUGUGAAGAAUUGCCAGCCGAUUAUUUUGGUCGAUGAGCGUUAUGUUUGUGAUAUGAGAUUAAUGUUAGGUGAGUAUAGGUUUAUAUUAUCUUGUGCUUUAUUUUUAUCAAAUAAAUAAAGGUGAUGUGAUUCAAACUCGUGACUGUUUUGUUAUCAACAUUCUAAUAUCAUGUCAAAGAACCAUUUCAAUCCAAAAAUUUAAACUGUUAGGUAAGAUUUCAAGAUAUGAUUUAUAUUAUUUUUUAAUAAUUAAAACAUAUAUUCUUAAAUUUAGCAAACUUUAUUGUAAUUAAAGUUUGGUUUUGAGUUUUAUUUUUAUAGUUUGGCAGGAUGGAUUAAGCUUUUACAAAUUUAAGAUAUAUUUUGGGAUAUAAACUUUUAAUUUACAAGUGGAUUCCAAGCCCUAACAUCUUUAUCCCCUCCAAUUGGGUUCCUGUGUAAGUAACCCUUUUAUUCAAAAUUCUUAGGUUUUUCUUAGUUUUCACCUUUAAAAAUAUUAAGUGGGGACUUUACUUUUAUGAACCAUCUUCCUUGUGAACUCUUAAAUUUCAGGUACAACAUUAUAUAAAGUUGGAUCUAACGCUUAGUUACUUAAUUUUUCUAAUGACAUGAAUAUUAGUUUAAUUUUCAAGAUAGAGGAUUUAUCAUAGUCUGUUCUUGCAGAUAUUCAUAUGCUUAAGAACUCUUCUUGCACCAUAACCUAAUGAUGAGAUUAAGUUUGUGUUGGAUGACGUAGUAUCUUUUUUUUUUUUUUUCUUGAUGUAGUAUUUUUUUUUUUUAGCUUAACGUGGGUGUCCAGGUUAGCUUACGCGCACCUCGACUAAUCUCACGGGCCCUGAAGUUAACGACCAUGUAAACCUCCAGUGACCAUCAUAUGAGCAACCACAGGGCUCGAACCUGAGACCACAGAGGGAGCAAACCUCUUGGUCCCAAGCUCUUACCACUAGGUCACCACCUAGAUGGUUCUUGAUGUAGUAUCUUGAGUCUUUUAGUGGUGGUUUUUAAUUUUUUUUAAUUAACGUGGGUGUCUGAAUCAGCUUGCGCGUAUCUCAAUUAAUUUUACGGACUCUGAAGUUAACGAUCAUAUACGCUCCUAGUAGCCCAAAAAGAACUCAAACUCAUAAUUUUUGAAAAGUUACCUCUUAAAAUUAAAUUAUCCAAAACUUUUAUACAACUUGGACUUUGGAGGCUAAAUUUCAUGAAUUACACCUUGAGCUUUUGGACUUUCAUCUUUAAACAAACUCUUUGAAGUCGAGUUCUUAACAAGUGGGUAAUGAUGGAGGACCACCACGUAAAUUUUUUAAGUCUACUUAUUAUUAUUUGUUUUUUUAUAAAAAAAGAUAGAGUUUAGUUUUAGCACUCGCGUUCAUAUACGCGAGUCUGAUUUUUUUCUUUUAAACUUAAAAAAAUAUUAAGAUUAUUAAAUUUGUUUUAGGAAAUAUUAUUAAAUUCAAUUAAAUGGUUCGAUUUUAAAACCCGUCAACUCGACUCUUUGUCUAUCUAGAGUUGCAAAUUAAACCACAUGAGAGUUGAUCCAAAGAGAAUAAUUCAAUUUAAUGGGUCCAAAUAUAAUUUGGAUGACCGAUAAAAAUAUAACAUAACUUUUUAAAAAAACUUUAAGACGAAAAAUAUUUUUUUAAUAAUAAGACGAUGCCAGAUUUGAUCGACCUUGAGCUCUUGGACUUUCAUCUUUAAACAAACUCUUUGAAGUCGAGUUCUCAACAUGUGGGUAAUAAUGGAGGCCCACCACAUAAAUUUUUUAAGUCCACUUAUUAUUAUUUGUUUUUUAUAAAAAAGAUAGAGUUUAGUUUUAGCACUCGCGUUCAUAUGCGCGUGUUGGAUUUGUUUCUUUUAAAACUUUAAAAAAAUAUUAAGAGUAUGAAAUUUUUUUUGGAAAUAUUAUUAAAUUCAAUUAAAUGGUUCGAUUUUAAAACUCGUCAACUCGACUCUUUGUCUAUCUAGAGUUGCAAAUUAAACCACAUGAGAGUUGAUCCAAAGAGAAUAAUUCAAUUUAAUGGGUCCAAAUACGUAUAAUGAAGGAGAACAAAGAAGGUUUGAAUGCUUAGAAUUAGAGGGAGAAGCCAUGUGAAAAAUACUCUAAUACCAAGUUAGAAGAAUAAGAUGGAGAGACUUCCUCAAGAAUUCAUUAUGAUCUAGUCGUAUGUGUGCACGCAUUAUUACCAUGGUUUUUCUUCAUGUUUAUUGUUGUUGUUGUUUUGAUAAAUUAGCUUACUUUUGAGUUUUUUAUAUGAUGGUAUAUAUUCUUUAGUUUGGAUGAGAAUACCUAAAAAAAAAUUAUAGAUUGAAGAAUGACCUUAUAUUCAAGAAUAAAUUGAAAAUAAUUAAAUUUGCAGUUAGGGAGUAACAUAAAAUUAUUUAUUAGGCUUCACCUAUUAGCUAAGUUUUUUUAAAGUUAAGAUGACUAUUUAAUAUAUUAUUAGAGCUUUAAUGACUAAGAUAUCACAAAUUAACUCGAAUCUUAUUAUUUUUAUUCUCUCCAAUAAAAUUAAAUAUAAUACUUUCUAAUAUAUAUAUAUAUUUAACAUCCAGCUUAAUGUUUCAUAUGAGUUUCACUCAAAAGUUUAUCUGAAGUUUUAUAAUACUUUUUAAUAAAUAUUUUUUUAAAGAAAAAAAUUUUCUAAACUUGAAAAUUGUAAGAUAGGCUAACUAUUUGUUUAAUUUUUAUAAUUUAAUUAGAUAAAAUAAUUUGAUAUUAUGUUGAAAAACUAUUUUAAUUCAAAAGGUUAAAUUAUCAUGUGAGACUUUUAUAUAUAUAUAUAUAUAUAUAUAUAUAUAUGGGAACGAUAAAAGUAAAUAUAAUCAUUGCAAAUUGAUUAAUUAGUUUGAUGAAUGCAGUUAAAUUACCUUCAAAGAUUAAAGUAUUAAAAAAGAUUCAUUUACAUUAGAGAAGUAGUAGUAAGAGAAGGUGCCGAAUCGUAUGUUCUUAAUGUGAUCACACUCAUCAGCUUUCCUCGGUAAAAUCACUUAGGUAGCAUAGAGUUUAUAAACAAUUGUUCAUGUUCCCAUUUAAAAAAACAAAUUGUUCACAUAAAAUUAAUCAUGAUAAAGAUGGCUUCAAAUUAAAAUAAUCGAAAAAUAUAAAAACAUUAUUUGAAAAAAAUAAAAAAUAAAAAGAAUUCAGUCUGUUUUAAAAAACUUUUAAAUGUUUGUUUUUUCAAUCAUUCCAUGCGUGAAGUCACCACCAAUCAUGUCAUCGUUAAAACCUAGCAACUUACAUUUUGAUGACUAAUACGGAUAUUAGUUUUCUCUUGAUAUGUAUAAUAGUCAAUAUCUUCAGAUUGAUGCAUGCUUCAUCCUUUUCCAUGAAGUUUCAUGUAUGGUCGUACCACCGUCCAUCCUUCUUCCUUCCAUUAUCGCGUAGUGAUUGGCUGGCCGUUCAUCUUUUUGAUUCCUCGUGAAAAUAAACUUGAUUAAAAUUGAAUCAUAGCCUUCUGGUGAAAUGGAUCCUGAUCAUCUGCUCAUAUUUCUCAGGAAUCCCCAAGGUGAUCAGCAAGUUAAUAUGCAUCUCUCCAUAGCCAAGUCUGAGCGAUCAUUGAUCUUCAUGUUGAGCUGCGACAUGGAGAAAACAUCCCUAAUGGGUAUUAUAAGUCAACUACAUGAUUGAUUGAUCUGGUUAUGGUAUAAGAAGAUAUUGAAUAAUAUUUUUUAUUAAUCAAAAACAUUUGAAAUACGUAAUUUAUCAGUUUCUGUUGUUCUCUGUAGACUUUGUCUUAUUUAUUGAAAUUGUAGAUGAAGACAUAAGAGAUCGAAGACAAAAUAUCAAGUUCUGAUGUUAAUAUGUACAUACAUACAUAGAACUACCAUUAGAAAGUUAGGUUCUUGAUCAAAACCGGUUUUGUAUACAUAAUACACGCGUGGUAAUAAUUGUGAGACAGGAGUUCAAGAUCACCAACAGUUUUGACCACCUGAGCCACCGCUCCUCCGCCGCUUCACGGGGAAGACCUGACGGAAACCGCCAUGGGUGGUUGCCAAGUGCAACUCCUCCAAAACAACUCCAUCUAGCUCAAACUGGUGAAUCACCCCACCAGAGCCAUCAAACAAGCACUCCUCUGAAUACCCACCAGGACCACCCCGGCCAGGCGGCUUAGUUUUCCGGCGGCCGGCUCCAACGGGAACAUUUCGAAGGGCCCCACCUGCCGUCCAGUACCUCUGGCAGCCCUUACAGAAAUGUCUUGGCUGGUUAACAUUGUAGUUGUUGAAGUAACAAAACUUGGUCUCCAUGCUCUUGCAUCUAGGGCAUUGUAUGAUCUUCUCUGGCCUCUUGUCAAUGGUUGGAUUUUCUUUGUUUUGAUCUUCUUUACUGAUUACUUGCCCGUCAUGCAGCGUAAUUGUUGCUCCGAAGAGCUUGAUACCCUCUUCUUGACUAGCCAUGAUAGAGAUAAACAAAUCAAGGAUAUUGAGAUCGAGAGAAAUGUCAGAGCCUUCUGGGUUAAUAAUAGCUAAAGCCUAAAUCAAGGAGAAAGAUGAGAGAGAAUAUUUAGGUGUAGAUAGGGAGGAGGGGGGGGUGCUCAUGGAUGCAUAUAUACAUGGUAUCAAAAGUGCUAAAAGAACUGUUGAAAACAAAAGACAUAAAAUAUAAUAAAACUCCAUGCGACAUAGCCGCCAAGAAACAAGGUGGAUGGCGUGGGAAAGCUGAUGAUGAGAGUUUUGUCCACAUCAUUACUCCACGUCAUCAACAGUGGGGUUCAAGAAAGUCCAAGUGUGGGUCCCAGUACAGGCAGGUCGCGUACAAAGCGCCAAGGAUAGGAAUAAAUUAAAGAGAUAAACUUUUGUCCGUACCGCAAGUUCUUCAUUUGUUUUUUAUUUGAAAAUAUAUUAAAAUAAUAUGUUUUUUUAAUUUUUUAAAAAUUAUUUUUCAUAUUUAAAAAAAAUUCAAAUUGAAAAAGACCAUGAUUUCAAAAUCAUUACCGAAAACUAAAGGGGUAUAGCUCAUAAAUAAUUAAGGACCGAAUUGCGCUUUGUCAUUUGCCUUUGAAAAGUUGCUUUUGUUCAUGGAUAUGAUUUGCUCGUUUGCCUUUGAAUGGAUUAUGUUUCCACAUCAUGCUAGUGGUGAUUUUUAACUUGUAUUUGUGAAUUUCUCUACAAGUUAUCUACAAGUUUAUCAUGUAGCAACAAGUACAAUAAAACGGUAUAAAGAAUACAAGAAAAAUGGGUCCCUCACAGUAGCACAUUGAAAAUUUGUUCAUAAAAACUAUACUAUAGAAAAUAAUAAUAAUAAUAAUAAUAGAUCAUUAAAUAUUUUGAAAAUAACACAAACUUUCGUAUUACAUUUAAUAAAACAACAGUGUUUAAUUAGAUCAUCCAAUAAUCAAUAAAAAAUAUUAGAUUUUAAACCAUUAAGUAAUUCUAAAAAAAAUAAAUUGCAAUUAAGGAAGUGAUAGAAACGCUAUCCAAAAUCAAUGUUAUAAUUCAAAUUCAAUUAUCAAAAAGUUAUUUAAAAUAAUAGUACAAGAAAAACAAGUUUAAAAUUAUGGGAUGCAUUCACAUUUUCAAUUCCAUACCAAGUCGAAUUACUUGGAGAUCAAUAGGAAAUCUAUAAAUAAAAAAGUGAGUUACAAAUUAGAUUUAGAGAUCAUUAUUGUUUAGUUUAUAUAUCAUGUCAUUUAUAUAAUUAAUAAGAAUCAAACCAGAAACCUAACAUGCAUUCUAGCAUAUCAAAAAAUAUAUAAAACUUAAUUAGAAUUAUAUUUUAAAAAAUCAUAACAUGCAUAUAAUCACAAAGAGAGUUAAUUUUAGAUUAAUCUAAAAUAGGUGUAGAUGUAAGGUAUUUGCUUGUUGAAUAAGCAGAAAGUAAUAUGUUAUCAAGGAUCAAUAUUUUGCGCUUAAUGUUUUAUUAUUCAUCACUUAAUGCAAAUGAAUGUAUGCAAUCAACCCCCUAAGAUUCCAACAACAUCACUUUAAAGAAUGCAUUUCCUUUUAAGAUUACGAACCAAAGAAAUUUAGAACUCAAAAUCUCAAUAUAUAGACAAGAUUUUGAGCUUUAGAAUAGAGAGAAAAAGAAGCUGAAAGUAGUAGAGAGGAAAGCUAGAGAUGUGCUACAAAAGCGUACUAAACAUCUCCCUCUCCACUUAUAUUAACACUGAUUUUCAGAAUAAAAAAUAAUGAAAAAUUAUCAAAAUUAAUCAUAUCUCAUUACCUUACUUGCUCAUCAUAAAAAGAAAUUAUAACCUGAUAGAUUUUAGCCUUAAAAACUAGAACUUUUUCCUUUAAAAAAAUUAUCCAGGAAGAUGAUGAUUGUUUAGAUUCGUUAUUAAUGGGUUGGAUAUAUAAAUGGGUUGAUAAAAGAAUUCUUUAUAGGUUAAAGAAUUAUUAUUAUUAUUAUAUAUAUAUAUAAGUCAAAUUCAAGUCCAAAAUAGGUUACCAAAAAAUAAACUCAAACUCAAGAUCAAGACAUAAGACCUGAAACCCGGAGUUCGUGGCCUAUGGCUUAUGGCCUUGAGCUCAAGCCCAAGUCGCACACAUUAAACCCACACUAUUUUACUCAGGCUUAUUUAUGACUUUUCAACUUUCCACUAAAUAAACUAUAAAACAAUCUUGUAUUUAUUUAUAUGGGAUAGAGGGUUUUGAGUUUUACAACAAACAUAUCAACCAAGGGUUCUUUAAGUUUAAUUUCUCAUUCAUCCAUGAUUUAUUUAAAUCAUAUUAAUGUUCCAUAUUAGUGAAAUUUAUUUUAAAUUUGAUCUCAAAUGUGUCUAUUAAUCAUGAUUUUAAAAUAGAUUUUAAAAUAGAUUUUCUAACAAUUCCCUACAUGAAUGAAAAUUGCCUGAUUUGUUUAAAAAGAUCUUAAAAUUCAUAGAGAGAUAAUGAUUUGAUGGAUCACUAUAUCAGGAUAAGUAACUUUUGAUUUUGAACUUUUGUUAGUGAAGGACUAUCGCAUUUACUCGGCUAAAUAGUGAACACAAUAACUUGAGUUAUUCAGUCUUUUAUAUAAAACAAGUCAAUAACACUAACAUAGUUCUCUAACUGAAGAUUUAUUCUGGUUCUCACAAUAGUGUUCAUUUUCGCCAUGAACAUCUUUCAAAUUCAAGAAUGCUUUAGAGAAUACAAUAUAUAUUUUUUAAAAUUAUAAAAGAAAUAAACAUUUCUUAUUUAUAUAUGUGAUUUUUUAAAAAACAAUUUAUCAUGAGUUUUUACCACUUGUUCUAUAAUGUUUACUUUGGAGGCCAUACUAGAAGAGUUGACUCUCUUUUUAGAAAAUUUAUUGUCCUCUUUUAUCCUAAACCUAAAAAAUACAGUCUUUAACUCUUAUUUUUAUGCUUAUUCUUAAAGUAAGUCUUGAAGUCUUUUUAAGAUGGUGGUAAUUUUCAAUUAUUGUAGCUAUUUGAAAGGAUUCUCUCAAAUACAUAACUUCAAAAUGAAUAUCAUAAAAUAAGUUGAAACUCUUGAACUUGGCUUGUAAUGGUUCUUGAGUCAGCCAUUUUGAAGUCCAUAAAAUUGUUGACUGUGAACUUUUUCAUACUAGCAUCUUCAUUCUUGUUUUUUUUAUCAAAACCUUUCAUAGUGUCUUGCACUCUUUAUCAAACUAUACACACUAUAUGGUGUAUUGUCAAAUUCAUUCAAGAUAUAAUUCAUGCAUAUAAAAUCAUUAUGAUUCCAUGUAUCCACAACUACCAGUGUUGUAGGAUCAGAUUCCAUACCAAGGUGGUUAAAUAGAAUAAUAUUUUUGUUGCCACUUCUUGAAGUUCAAUCCAUUUAACUUAUCGUUUUCUCAUAUAUAUCACAGAAAGUGAUGAUGAAAUUCUCUUUAUUGAAGUAGUACUUGAUGAAGUAAUAUUAGUUGUAAUAACCAUUUUUUUAGUUGAAAAUGUGAUUAUUCUAAAAAAACAGCCAUAAUUAAAAUUUGACUAUACUAAAGCAAAGAAUAUUAUAAAACUAAAACUUAAAACAAUUAAGCAAAUAAAAUUUUGAAUGUCAACUAAAAUUUUAAAUUAAUUGUAUGAUUUUUUUCAAGAUAUAAACAUGAAGAAUUAUUGUAGAUAAAUAAGAACUCCAAUAAACAAAAGUACUGAAACCAUGCAACUUUAUAUAAUCACAUUUUGAUUUUUGUUAGCUCAAUAUGUUAUCCUUUUAACAUGCAUGAUAUCAAAAUAAAAUUAUUUAAACAAAUUGCAUGGUCAUGAAUUUAGACAAAAUGUAUAAACUAAAAACGAAGAUUGCAACUUUAAAUGUAUAAACUAAACAAAUGAAUAAACUAUAUAAACAAAGAUCUAAAAUCUUAAGAUUGUAAAUAAUAAAGGUGAGAUAAAAAAUUAGAUUACAUAAUCACUUGUUUGGGAUAUUUGAUUUCACAAUCACAACAAACAUGCCAACAAAGAAUUAUUAAAAAUUAAUUUUUCAUUCGGUUAUAAUUUAUUUUAAUUAUGUUAAUGUUCUAUUUUAAAAACUUUAUAUAUAAAAUAAUUUUUAAUAAAAUUUUAUUUUUAAAAAUAAGUGAAAUCCAUGUUAAAUUUAGUUUUCAAUAAACCAAUUAACCAUGAUUUUAAAACAAUUUUUCUAACAAAAUCUCAUUUGAUAGUUGUUUUUAAUGAUGAUAGUACGAAAAUGAACAAGUUGUAUAAAAUGAAAUUGUUUAGAGAAUAUAUGAUACAGACAAUUAUUGAGUCCUUACAAAUCAAUGCUCCUAUCAGAAACAACUUUCUGUCGUAUCCAACAUCUACAAAUUGGCUUGUAAAGGUUGUAAUAGGGACGUACAUGUAUAUUCUUCUCUAUGCUAAAUGAAGUGGAAAAGAUUAUGUUGCUUCACCAUUUAUAUGAACACGUAAGCAACUUUAUUUUUUUUCAAUUUUUUUAUUUUCUUAUUCUAUUUUGAUUUUUUUUAAUUUUAUUGUUUUAUAUUUUAUUGAUUUUAAAUUACUGGUUAUUAUUUAUUUGAUUUUUUCUAUAAAAAUUUAUCGUAACCUCAAACAAAUGUCUCAAUAUUUGAUUGGUGUUUAAUUUUUACAAGCGUCUAUUCUUUAUCAUAUCAUUAAAUAAAAAAUAAUUUUUGAAAAACAUAAUUUUUAAACCCAAUGGAGUUUAUGAUCUUGGUUGUAUGCUUUACGAGUUAAGUCGCAAUGUCGGCGUCGGUAUAAUAUGUUAUUGUUUUAAUAUUAAAAAAAAUGAUGUCAUAUUGAUAUUUUUUUUUAAAGUUAAACCAUGCUUUUACCGAUCGUCUGGAUUGCGUUUGAACCCAUCAAAUCAACCAAGUUAUGUAGAAUCAACUCUUAAAUUGUUUUUUUCCCCUUAAAAAACUCCUUCCAUUUUUUUCUCUUUGAAUUUUAUCUUUUUUAAUUGUUUUUUUUUUUCAUGUUAAUCCUUCAACAUUUGGUUGAUUUUGAAUUAGUCUUUAUAAUUUGUUUUGGUUUGCUUUCUGUGAGGUUAUUACAAUAUCAAACAAACAUCUCAAUAUUUGGUUAAUAUUUAAUUUUAUGAGUGUUUAUUUUUGUGAUAAUAAUUUUGUGACCGUUUAUUUUAAUAUCAUAUCAUUAAAUAAAUUUUGAAUUGUUUUUUUUCUUUUCCAAAGUUUAGCGGCUAUUAAAUUAGCAUGUGUUUGCACGAACAUGUGGGCAUUUGUAAGCGUAUGCAAGUUAUGAUGGGGCAUCUUAUGGUCAUUAAUUUCAACUUGCGCACGCAGCAUUGAAUAAGCUGGAUCGUGAGAAGGAAUAUGAAAACCAAACUUUUCAGAUGCCUUGAUUUCAUUUUUGUCUACUCAGAUUCCCACUAGUGACUUAGCAACUUGCUUCCUAGCUAGUUAGUUGCUGAUUUAUAACUUGCAUGUAAUUUAUGUGUGAAAUUAAGAUAAAGAACUAUAUAUGUGGGCCGAUCAUAUCUUUCAACAUGCAGUGUUCAAGGGCAUACUUAUCCUUUGCAGAGUUGGAUGCUGCCUGAAGCUACUGCUUUUUGCUUCAACACCCUCUUUUCACCUGUUUUCUGUGGCUUUGUUGCUCACUUUUCGUCGUUUGAAAAUGUAGGGUUUGUGUGUAUGGGUAGCUUUCUGCUGCAAUUAUGAAGGAGAGUAGCUAGUUUGAGAUGGGUUUUUUUUUUUUUUUUUUUUUUAUUAAAGGAAUCUGAUCUGAUUAGUAUAGAGAGUAGACUCAUUCCCACCAGCAACUUUUCCAGAUAUAUAAUGUGGACAAGCAAGCAUUUUCGUUAUCUUUUACUUGAAAAAGAGAUGCACUUUUUCUUUAGGACGCUUUAGAAGUCUCCUUUUGAUUUAAAAACAAAAGCAUAUUAUAAAAAAGGAUAAAGUGAUUUGCAUGAGUGUAUCUUUUAGAUAUAUCGACCACCUCAUCUCUCCAUUUCUCUUGCCACUAUGCGACAGGUUAGCUGCCUCGUAGUGCUUGAAAGAAAAUUAGGAGGAUCAGAAUAUAAUCUGGAUCUGUUUUAUAUCUGUAGACUUGUAGUGUUAUUCUUCAUUUGAUUCAUUUCAUGCUACUAUGUAAUAUAAAAUUAUUUUUAGAUUUUUAUCUGAAAUUAAACUCAGUUUUUUAGAAUGAGAUUGUUUUGCAUAACCAUAUCUUAUAAUUAUCAUUUUAUUAGUAUUUGAUUACUGGGGUAAUAAUAAUAACAGGUGUUCCAAAAUAAUUAACCUUUUGGUACGUAUAACUAGUUCAAUCUAUAUUGAUAAAAAAAAAUAUUUUCUCUUCUAUCACUAAACAUUCAAAAACCUUUGGCAGGUCAUAAGAAUUAAGAUUUUAAUAAAUUAAUCUUCAUACACUAGCUUUCAAUUAAACCAAAAUGAUGAUUUAGUCUAGGCAAUUGUUCUGUGCUUCACUUCACUGUGGUCGGACAAUUUAUUUAAAAAAAACAUAAAAAAAAUAUAUAGGUGUUAUUAAUAUAUUUUUUAUUUGCAAGUAAAAUUUUGAUUAUAAACUCAAAAUUUAAUCUAUAAAAAAUAUUAAAAAAAAUAUUGAGAUAACGAUAUCUUUGAUUGAUUUGGGCCAACUCAAUCUAACCUAUCAAAUCUAUAAUUUGAAUCAUGAACCAACUGGGCUUAAUAAUAUUAUUUUUUUAUUUAAUUAUAUCAGGAAAGUAAUCAUAUAAAAUUUUAAAGAAAUAAUGAUGGGCUCUAAAAUAAUUACUAGUAUUAUAAAUAAAAAAUUGUUAUGCUCUUAUUAUAAAGGAAUGUAAAAACUGAAUGUCAUUUUAUAAAAUAAUAUAUAAGAUGUAUUCUUAAUUAAUUUAAAAUUUUAAUAUAUUUAUAAUAUUUUAAAUUAAUUGAUUCAAAAAAAUAAUUUAAAUUAAAAGGAAAAUAAAAACAAGCUAGGGUCAUGUGAGUCUGUGACUAACCUUAAUCAAAAAGCUCAGGCGCGUCUAUUUUUGCUUCAGGAACAGAUGACACGUCGUCAAUAACUAUCUUUUUUAUUUUGUACAACUAGGCUACAGGUCACCUGCAACAAAAGGCGACUUGUCAUUUACUGAGUUUUUGUCAUUUUUUCCUAUUCGGUAAUAAUUAUUUUGAUGACCCAGAAUAGAUUGAUUGAACACCAAGCAAGCAAGCAAGCAGGUAAACCUGCCGCCUGAAAAUGAGUUUGACCAGGUGCAAACUUUUCAUAUCUCCAUCGUCGCCGUCACCUGGAAAUUCCCAGCAGAAAAUUGAAAGAAGAAAGGAUGGGAAUCGAUGUCCCCACACCAUAGAAGUGCCCCGAUCAUCUUUCCCAAGAUAUUAUGCUUUAAAUAUUAAGAUAACUAUGGAUGUGAUUGGAAAGGUAUGUUGCUUGCUGCCGUGGGUGGCUCAUCAGCAUCAAGUUGUGUUAAUAAAAUGAGACAAGGAAAGCAUAAUUGUUCGACUCGGUUCGUUGGAUUUGGUGAAAUGAUUCAUGAAAUUAAAAAUCCGGAAACUAAUUUUAGCUAAAUCCUUAAUUGAGUUACAUAAGAUGUUAAUUUAAUAAAAUCUAAGUUGAGCUUAUUAGAUUUUUAAUAAUGAUGAUUUAAUUAAACUCGAUUUAAAUUUAAUUAAGUUAACAUGAAAAUAUAAAAAAAUAUAUAAAAUGAUAUUGCUUAAAUAAAAAUAAAAAAUUUGAGUUCACUUGGUAAUUCAUGUGUCGAUUCGUGAUCUAGGGUCUGAGUCUGUCCGAGUUAGAAAAAAAUCUAGUUGAACCGAUAAAAAAUUCAAAUCGAUUAGAUGACCCGAUCGAUGAAAGCCUAAAUUGAUCAAAACUCAAAUAUCAAUCCAUUAUUUUUUUUAAUAUUUUUUUAUUUAUAUUGUCUUAAUUUAUUUUUAAAAAAUAUUAUUUGAGUAACCCUUCCGAUCAAUUUAUACUUAAUUUUGCUACUGUAAUUCUUGGCUUCUCCAUAUGAAAUGUUUCUAGCUAGUAGAGCUGAAAGGCUUUCCUCGUGGCAAGGAAGGAGUGUCGAUCUCCGGUUAACCGGAAGAACAAAAAUCAACAUCAAAUCAGAAUAAAGGUCUUACAAAAUCAAGUUAUUUUUUCAAUAAAUUACAGCUCAACUAUCAUUAAUAUCUGCUCUUUUCAAAAGUUAGUUAGCUUCGCAACAAGUUUUUUUUCUCUCCUUCUUCUUUAACUAGAAUCAAUGUGAAAGGCAAUUAGACAGGAAUAUAUGCUAAUGUCAGGAGAGAUUUUUUUUUUUUUUUCUUGAACAGCAUUAGACAGAUUCUAAGAUUGCAAGGCAACCCAUCUCAGCUCAUCAAACUCCCACAAAAUAUUAAAAUAUUUAGCACCGCUGGCUUAAACCUAAAUAAUAAUAAUAAUAAUAAUAAUGAUGAUAAUAAUUAGGUUCAACUUAUAUCAAGGUCAAAAAAGGAAAAGGAAAAGGAAAAGGAGAAUGGCAUGCAAUCUAUGAAGAAAUUUUAUGUACCUAACUCUCAAAUACUAAAAAACAAAAUCACAAUUAAUGAGUCCAAAUUAGGUUCAAUAACUUUGACUUGCCAAAAUUAAGUCCAAAGAAAAUUAUCAGUCCAUCAAUUUUACAAAUUUAUAAAAAAAGAUAUAUAUAUAUAUAUAUAUAAUUUGAGUAAACGGGUAAUUUUUUAAUUACCUACAUUACUUGAAAUAAAUCUAGUUAGAUAAUUAUCUAGUUAGAUAAUUAUCCAAAUUACCCAUUUCUUGUAUUUUUAAGAAUAUAUAUAUAUAUAUAUAUAUAUAUAUAUAUAUAUAUAUAUAUAUAUAAAAUGACAUUCCAGAGAUAAGACAUCUCGUAUAUUGAGAAAAAAGAGAAACUGGAUCAUAUAUAUUAACUAUAAUGAAAUUCAUAUACUUGGUGUUUUGGAUUUGUUACCAAUUAAGAUUUUCUUCUCUUUCAUAGAUAGAAUUAGGGGAUAUUUAAGAAAAUAUGUGAGCAAGACAUAAUUACUUUAUAAUCAAUCAGCAUGUGAAAUCUAUAAUAACUUGGGAUUAAAUCAAUUCAUAUGAGCAUGGAUAGCGAUUAAUCAUAAUUACAAAUAAUCAUUGUUUUUUUUAUUAUUAAUGUAGGUGUCCGAGUCAACUUGCACGCACCUCGACUAAUCCCACAGGUCCUGAAGUCAAUAACCAUGUAAGUUUUCAGUGACCAUCAAAUUAUAUUGAUUUAUGAAAAUACCAUAAAGUCCACUAAGUAUCAUGAAAAUUGAUCAUGAUUAUAUUGAGCCAUAAGUCUUAUUGACUUAGAAACUAUGUAUAAGUUUACUACACUAAUAAAUCAUGAAGAAACAAUAACUCCUCACUCAUCGCAUACAAGAAAAUAAAUAGCCUGGUAUUAAAUAUAAUAAAGUCUUAUAUUUAAUAAAGACUAAACAGGAAAAACUCUUAUUGUAUGCUCUGAUAGCCCAUUUAAAUAUAAAGUCUUCUAAGUCCACUAAGUAUUUCUCUGGAUUACCUUCGCCCAUUGUAGCUAGUUUCUUCGUUAUCCCAAAUAUUAGCCUUGAAUAUGUUCAAGCACACCACACGUCCCCAUGUGAGCAAGCCAAUUGUCAGCUUUUAACAUGACAUUAAUAGCAUACACUUAUCCUAUAUUUAUUUUGAAUAUCAACAAUAUGUCCCAUAUUACUUUUAUUAAAUACUUGGAGAAAAUAAAUAUAUAUAUAUUUAGUAAUAUACCCAAAAAUUAAAAACCAAUUACUACAAAACACUACCAAGAAAUUAUCAAAUACAAAUAGAAAUAUCAACGGAAAUAAUACCAAUGGUAAAUUACAAUAUCAUUUACCAACAAAAUAUUAAUUCGCUAUUUCCCUUAAUAUUUACCAAUGAAAAAUGUCAGUUGGUGACUACAGAAGGAAUUACAUUUGGAAAUGAGAAAAAAAAAUGAUGUGUUAUUAUCUUAGACAGAAUUACCGAUGAAAUAUUCUUAUCGGUAACAUCAAUUAAUAAAUUAAUCAGUAAUAUUUAAAUAAGAACCUGACAGUCAACCCCCUUAUCCCACUCCCCCAUUUCUUUUUCUUAUUCUUUUUUAUUAUGCAGAAAACAACACACAACACCCCCUCAUUUUGUCACUAAUCAAGCUCAAAUCAUAACAAAUCUGGCUACCUUAACAAUUAAUCUGUCGGCAUCCCUGUGCUGGUUCAAUUUUUCUUUGAAGAUUCGCCACAUCAAGUAAACAAAAUUACUUUUUUUUUUUUGUUAAAACCCAUUUUUAAAAUGUUAAUUUUUUAGUAUUUUAUGUGGCAUAUUUAGUUUUUUUGUGUGUUUACUUGUUUUAUAACUUCUUCUUCUUCUUCUUUUUUGUAAAAACAUGUUGUAUGAAUGUACAAUUUGUACAUAUUAAGGUUUGCUUGAGAUUUUAAAAAAUUAUAUUUGUCUGUCAUUUGAUAAAAUUGAGUUUGAUUUUGUAAUUUAGGUGUUUUAUAAUAAAAUAAAUAAUAGCUUAUUUAAUGGGCACGUCUCACAUUUUGUCAAUUUUAUUGUCAAGUUUAAAAUUUCAGUAAAUUUGGAGGAAUUUGAUUUUUUGGAGAAAAUUGAUAAUGAUUUAAGAGUACUAUUAAAAUAGAUUGAAUAAGUUUGAGUUGAAUUAAUGAUAGUUAAUUAGUUGAGUACUAAUAAUUUGUUUAGUUCAUAUUAUUAAUUAAUGCAUGUUGUCAUCAAUAUUCUAUAUAGGUUUCAUAUAAGUAAUAAAUGAUUAUUCUUGAAUAUAUCGAGUUUCACUCGAAGAAUUGCGCAUGAUGGAUUAUUGUAAUGAAGUUGAGGGUUUUAUUAAUUACGCACUCUAAUUCUGAAAAAUAUAAGUGGAUGUGGUAUUAGAUGUCUAUGUAAGAGGUGUAAAAAUAAAAAGUUUCAUGAUGUUGACGUUAUUAUGAUGCAUCUAUUAUAUAUAAAAAAAAGGUUCAUGAAAAAAUACUUGUGUUGGUUUGCACAUGAAGAACAAUAUGUUCCUUACAAGGCUAUGAUGGAAAGAAUUGUUAAGUCAACUUCUAUUUCUAACAACAUGCAUAGAGUUAUAGAUGACAAUAGCAAUCGUUAUAUGAGUAUUAUUAUGGAUGCAAUGAGAAUAAAUCAGGGGUGAUGUAGGUGAAUGUUCAAUCAUAGAUGAAAAACAAAUGCAGACGCGGCUAGAGUUUUUGAUUUUUUGAAAGAUUUUGACCAACCAUUAUGGGAUGUGUGCAUAAAUCACGGUAAAUUAUUAGUCGUUACACAAGUAUUCACCAUUAAGUUAGAGCAUGAGCUAAGUGAGGUCGAUUACAACAGAAUUGUCAAAUGUGUGAGAAGCUAGAUCAUCUGGUAGACCUAACAAAAAUCAAGUUUACGGUAUCUUAAACACUACAACCAAGAUUAUGCGGAAAAGGCGUAGUAUAUUGAUCAUUGGUUCCUCACAAUCGGGUUCGAGCUCCCAAUCUUCGGUCAUCUAGGCGAUUGUAUGAUAACAAGUUAAAGCUCAAACGACCUAACUUUGUGCUGAGAUAACCCAACUUAAGUCUGAGACGGCUAAACUUAAGUGAUUAUAUGAGGAGUUGUUAUUGAGCCUCGAUGGUAUAUAUGGUCUACCUCGUCACCCACCUAGUCUUGGAAAAGAUCCACCUCUGCCUCUUCAUCCUCCUUAAGUUUCGAUCCAAUAGAUAAAUUGUAUUCAAUAAUGUAUUUUUAAAUUAAUAAUAAAAAUUUGGUUUUUUAUUUUAGUUUUAUUUCUUUUAAUUUCUUAUAUUUUGUUUAUUUUAAUUUUUUAAAUAUCAAAUACAAUACUGAUGGAAUUACUGAAGGACUUUUGAGUCACCAAUGAAAUGAUCAAUGAAAUAAGCCUCUAAAAAAGUUUCAGGAAGUUGGAAAAAAAUUACAAGACUUUGUCAUUGACAAUUACAGAUGGAACGAUUGACAAAAUAAUUCACUCAAAAAAUUAUAGAGAAUUAGAAAAAAAUUACAGAAUUUUACAAUUGACAAUUACAAAUGGAAUUACCGAUGGAUUAAAUCCCUCAGAAAGUUUCAAAAAAAUUACAGGACUUUCCAUUGGCAGUAUGUGAAUCUCGAUGGAUUAAUUUCGUCGGUAAUAUAAAUUCAAUCACUAAUGAAAUUACCAACGAGUUAUUUUAUUUAUAAUAUAUCAUACUCACCGAUAGAAUUACUAACAAACUAAUAUAAAUUUAUUGAUAAUUAUAUUACUAACAAAAUAACUAACAAAAUAAAAAUCAUCAAUGAUAUAUAUUUCAAUGACCAGCUAUCAUUUGUGAAUCUAUAACCAAGUGUUUAUUUUUUCCUGAUAGAAUUAAUAUUUAAAUACUGAAAAUUCCGUCAAUAUUAUAUAUGGUUGUGAAAGUCAUUAUUUCUGCCUAAUUUUUUGCACUCAAUCACUUAUUUGGCUUUAUGAAGUGACACUCUCACUUAUAAGUUAUUUAUAUUCACUUAUAUAAUCAAUCUCACUAUCUCCUUUUUCAUCAAAACUUAACUAAUUUACUCAUGAACAUGCCUUAAUCCAAAAAAGAAAGGUUAAUCAUUUUCCACCAAGCCUUUAAUUCCAUUCCCGUUGGAAUAAUAAUGUCUCCCAAGCUAUAGGUUGUGAUAACCUGUCCAGACGCGUGGGGCGAGAGGGACCACUUUAGACGAGAGAAAAAAGUGAAAAGAACAAGGACUCGCCACCGAUUAUUCAUUUUCUGGGUGUGAUUAGCCACCUAAUUAAUCUCUAUUAAUUUUAAUCAAUACCCAACAUUUAUUAUAAUCAAUGAAUUGUUGUCUCCAUGAGCAUGACCCAGAAUUAGAGUUCCAGAGUUAACUUGGGUUUGGAGAAGGUAUUAGCCCAUUUAUGAAUAAAGAAACACACACAAAAAUGGGCCAGCCCUGUACAAAACCAACGCCAGCCCUAAAACCCUAAUUCAAACAUCCGUUCCGCCUCACAUUCGUCGCUGCAGCAACCUUCACUCUGAGCCUGAGGUGCUUCAACCCUCUCUCCCUUUUGAUCUAUUUUUCAUGUUUCUAUGCUUUGAUGUGCUUAAAGACGUAAAUGUGCGUGUAUAUAUUUUCUAAGCAUUUUUUUUCUAUAAAAUGGAAACGAAACUUCGUUCUGUUUAUUGCUGAUGAGCCUGUUAUUUGUUGAAUCGGAGCCUUUUGGGUUUAGUUUUGAAAACCCAUUCAGGUUCUCUGUAGUGACUGCUUAUAAGUUCAAUUUUGCGUAUUUGGGUCAUUUGUAAUGGCUGUAUCAGCACCAUAUAAACUUGACGUAGAGAGGGGUCCUGGUUGUCUGUCUAUGAUUUAAUUUGAUGAAAAACCAUUUCAUUUGUAGAGCUCAAGCAGAAUGAUUAUCAGUACUUUUUUUCUUUCUAUUUCUCAUAUUUUAUGGCGUUCUAUUUUGGGGUUUUGAGGGGUUGUGGAUUUAGGGGUUCGGCUGUUUUCAAAAUAGAUGUAACAUUUUUAAGGUAGUAAUCAAGGUCAUGAAGUCUUAACCGAGGACUCUGACGGUUGGAUGGAAACUUGGGACGUGGCAGGACUCAAUACUGUGAUUGGAGAACUUCUCUGUGUGGAGUGUGGAUGCAUACUUUUAUGCUAAUAUUUGGUUUGCUAUUUCAUAUGUAUAACCAAAUAUUUUGAACUGUUUGUCUAUGGUCUACUUGUUCUCUAGUUUUGAAAAUGCGUAAUGUUCUGCUGUUGUCUGCAGUAUAAAUUGUUAUUGGGAAGGUUUUUGGUUCAUAGUUGUGUCAGAUAAUAGUUGUGUCAGAUACUGAUUACAAAUAUUUCAGGGAUUUUGUUAUUGUCAUGUUGGUUUGAUUGUUUACCAUAAGGUGUUUGAUAUUAAGUUCAUAUUUUCUUUUUUAGGCAAUGGCUCCCAAACAGCCAAAUACUGGCCUUUUUGUGGGAUUGAACAAGGGGCACAUUGUGACCAAGAAGGAGCUAGCUCCACGACCCUCUGAUCGCAAAGGAGUAGGUUAUUUCACCAAGCUUCACUGAGAUUGCUUUUCAUAUUUAUGUUCUGGUCUUGCUAUUUCCUAUUAACUCCAGUAUUUAUUUUAUCUAAUUUUGGAGGUGUAUUAUAUUUUAUUUCUUUUAUUGAGUGUAAGACUGAAUUUUUGUGUGAUACUGUUUGAAUACAUUAGUAGUUUUGUAAUUUUUUUGCUUAUAAUUGUGUUCCUGUCCGUCCUUGGAUUUGUCUUUGGAACAUAAGAUGUACAUUUGGGCAUCAUAAUAAUUACAAUGUGCUUAAUGAGACAAUUGUUUUUCAUAUUGCUUUUGCAUAAAGUGGCUGGUUAUGAUACUGUCUCUUCUUAUGCUUGUCUGGAGUACAGAAAACCAGCAAAAGAGUGCAAUUUGUUAGGAGUUUGAUCAGGGAAGUUGCUGGUUUUGCACCUUAUGAGAAGAGGAUCACUGAGCUUCUCAAGGUUGGCAAGGACAAGCGUGCUUUGAAGGUAGCUAAAAGAAAGCUGGGCACGCACAAGAGGGCUAAGAGGAAGCGUGAGGAGAUGUCUAAUGUUCUCCGCAAGAUGAGGUACAUUCUAGGGAUCUAGGAUCGUUGCUUGCUUUUGAUAUAUUGGUAAAUUCACUUGAAAUCCAAGCUUUUAUGCUGGCUGGAAAAGGCUUCUUAUUUUCUUUUGGUGUAUUUUUACCGACAGGGCUGCUGGAGGUGGUGAGAAGAAGAAGUGAGGCAUGUGGUAGGGUUGUCUGCGAUCUCCUCAAUGCUAUUUUAGAUUCUAAGUAGUUGGAGGGAGGCUUUUGUUAUGUUCUGUUCAGAUAGCAUCUUUUAUUUUAAUUUUCUAUAAAUUGUUAUGUUUUAUAUAUGAAUUAAAUUUUAUGGGCCUCUUUCCUGAAUCUCAAUGUGUCUUAGCUUACUAGUUAUCCUAAUAAAAAUUGAAUGUCAAAGUACUAUAUUUUGAUAUAUCUAGAUUUAGUAUUGUUUUAUUUUGAUAUUUUAUAGUUUGAAAUAUUUCAUAAUUCUUAAAAAAAAUUGAUGACACCCUAGCUAUCAUUAAUUUGCUAAUUUUCUGCUUUCUUUUGUAUAUAUAUUUUCAUGUUCUUCUUGUUCAUUCUUGAGGUAAACAAAAAUGCUAAAUAAUUAAAAAUAACAAAUUUAUAUGUUUGAGGAAAAAAAUGAAAUUCUCGGACCUCCAAAAUAAUGCAAGGAUGUCAUCAUGUUAGUAAUACUUAUUAAACGUUGUAUAUCCCAUUUAUCCAAACACCUAAAAAAAUCCUAAGCUUAACCGUUGCAUUGUCGUGUUUAUGCUCAUGACCACCGAAAAGUAGGAGUGUUUAUGCUCCUACUUUUCGACCUAUAAUUAUAUUCUACUUUAACUUCUAAUAUUUUACAAAAUAUUAUUCAGAUCUAUUUUUUUUUCUUGAAAUUUUUUUUUAGAUAUUACAGGUUGGACAUAGUAAUUCCAUUAUUAUUUGAUGAUCUUUUAAAAAAAUAUCAAGUUACAAAAAAACAUCAAUUAUACAAAGAGACAAAUUGAUAAGUAAUUAAAUAUGUGAAGGAAAAAUAUUAUUUGUACCAAGGACUAGAGUUACUUACAUUAGGUUAUAUGGGUUGGGCGGGUUUUAAAAAUCCUAACACACACCCAACUCGUGAUAUCUAUUUAUUAGGUUUUUUGACCCACUAUCAAUUUUGACAGGUUGAGUCGGUAUAGAUAAUAUAAAUAUUACAGAUGAAUUAGUUUUUCUAAACACAACUACUAGGAAAAGGAUGUUGAGUUGCUUUCAACAUCAUCGUAGAAGACGGCGUUUGACCCAUAGUUAUCAAACCCGAUUCGGAGGUUAACCCGGUCAAGAAGCCGAGUCUUGGAUUUUAUGAGUCAACUCGGGUCAACCCGGGUUAACCCGGAUCAAUCCGGAAAAAUUUUAAAAAAAAAUUAUUUAAAUUUAAUGCAUCAAUAUUACACCUGCUAAAGCUGAGCACAUCAAGCAAUACAAGUGUCUAAGUUGCAGUGGCAAGAGAGCUGGGGUUUCAAGUUAGAUGCUGGAAGUCAAAGAUGACAUCAGUUAGACUUAUUUUUUUCUACAGUCUCCUCUCAAAUGACUCCCUUACUGUAUAGAAAGAUUUCAAUCAGAACACCACACCACAAACCAAAAACAAACCACAGAAACAACAGCUCACAUCUACCUGCAACAGCUUGCAUGCCCUCUGCCACCACUGCUAGCGACAUCACCAUCUUGAGAGCCAACCCUUUUAUUCCCACCGACUAUCAGACGACAAUUCCUCGAAUAAGCAUGGAUUUUCUCUCCCAGAACCAGCCACAGCUUCCCUUUUCCAGGUCAAAGCGGCUGCCACAGAUGCCUGGCAACAACUUCCCUCAUCCCUCUCUUAGUCUUCCCCCUGGCUUUUUGGCCCAAACUAGAGAGCCCCUCCUUCUUCUUCAUCAGCCGCCUCCAUCUCUUGGCCAAACAAGAGUCGCCGCCCACUGACACAGGAGACCAGCCCCACAGACGCCAUCUCCAGUUUCCCUCAUCUCUGCUAAACCGAGACUCGGCUCUCUCUCCUUCGACCAACCUCCAGCUGCCCUCUCCCUUCUUCUUCUUCACUGCUAACAACAGCUCAUUGUAGAGAAGAUGAAGAAAUAAGAAGGGAGUCCGAAGGACAGAAACCAGAUUUGAAAAGAAAAAAAGCAUUGGGUCUCGCCCGGGUCAUGGGUCAACCCGCCGGGUUGACCGGGUUUUGCCGAGUUGUUGCACUGAUCGGUCUUUUAACAAACCCGAACCGGUCCAGCUACCGGGUCGACCUGCCGCGCCGGUUUGGGUUUAAUAACUAUAGUUUGGCCGUUAGGAGAUGCCUCACGCAACACUCAAAGGGCACGAAGGCACUCCACAUGUUGGUGCGUGAGUUAUGCAUGCCAAAAUAGAAAUACAAGAAAACCCCUCCACUUCAAUUUUUUUUUCAAGAAUAAUUUAGUUAUUGCAUCGUGUUUAAAAAUAUUAAAAGAUCAAUGUGACCCCAAUUAAUUCAACAAUAAACUAAUUGAUCUUGAAAAAAAAAACCAUAUUACCAGCAAUAGCUGAUUUAUUGAUUUUUGUUUAAAAUGAUAACUUCGAGUUCCUUGAGGUUUUGGUUAAUUUAGGUGAUCCCUUCAAUCAUAAAGGGAUGCAAGAUUGGAUAAUUUGCAAAACCGAUGAAGCCAGUUCAAUCUGAUUAUUCCCAAAAUGUUGUUUUUUAAGAUCGGCAAGUUUACAACCAUGUUCCCAGCUCCGACAAUAAACUGGUCUGGUGUGUUAAGAUACGCGCCAGCAAGUCCAAGAAAACAGCAGAAUAGACGGAGACAAUUGCUGGUCCCGUGGAAAAUAAACGGUAUGAACAGCGAUCGCCAUUGCAAGCAAAUGCCAAAUGAUAAAAAGUAGGAAACCUAACCUUUUGGAGCUCACUUAUUCUGGCAUCAUGCAUGAAUAAUCAAUGCCCGGGGAAGAAAGAUACAUCAUAAGAGACCUAGUAGCCUAUCCCAUGGUUUAUACAUUCAAUCCUAACUACAAAAUUACUGCAAAUAUCCGCAAUAAGCACUACAAAAAAAACCGCUAGAAAUUAAUUACACGAUGAAACUGGGAUUAUUCACAUAUACAUAACAUGAUAAUAUGACAUCACUCCAGCUUAACCAACUCAAAAUCACAAGAGAAUUUCUUCUUAUGAACCUGCACAGCUUCCAAGAUGAUAAAGUGGGUCCAAUUAUCAACAUAUUUUCAAAGUGAUCAACCCAGCAGCUUCAGUAAUUCAGGAAUAAGAGAAUUUGUUUCUGACGAACUUGCACAACGACCUAUUAAUCAAGUGUCACUCCAAGUAUCAUCAUCUUCCCCAUCAUCACUCGCAACAGCCUGGCAUGUUUUUCAGUUUUAAUUUGUUGAUGUUGACCAGAACAAGAGAAACAAAUUUAACCAGAAGGAGGAUGAAAGGAAAGAGAGAGAAAUUGAAUACCUGGCGGAUUGCGUUUGCUUUCUCCAAAAUAGCACUGACUUUGUUGCUCGCAGUGGGACCUGAGAAGAGAGUAGUAGGCUUUGCUGUUGCGGUGCGUCUCAGAGUGAAUGACUGCAGUGGCACAACAAAGAAUAAAGGGAAAACUCGUGAGUGCUAGAACUCAUAAUUUUCUCACCACACAGCAACUAGUAAGUACAUAACCCGUUGAAACUCAAUAAAGCCUUUACCUUUCGGUUCCAUCACAACUAUCAAUCUCCUACUCAUCUUGGAACUUCUCUACUUUUCUGGUUAACAGUGGUGAUAUUAAAGGAUAUUUAUUAAAUUUGGUACCGAGCUUGUAUGGUGGGGGAGAACUUGAAGUUGAAUGUGGGUAGAAAUUUUCAUGCUACACUGAAAUGAAUGGAUUAGAGAUGACUCUGAAGAAAUGUUAGGUGAACAAUACAGGUGAUGAGCUAGAAAAGUGCUUCUUUUGAAUGUUGGUAGUGAGAAAGGUUGUUUGAUCCUAGUUUCUCAUUAGCAGAAUCCAUUUUGCAAUUUACGAGAAUGUUAUAGAGAUUCAUCAAAGAAAUUAUGGAUCAGCAGUUGGGAGGAGUAAGCUAAAUAAAUAUACUGUCAUCAUAUCAUAGAUUAUAGGUGCCAAGUUUCAUUCAGUUUUAUCUCCCAGAACACAAAUAUACAUCCUGAGCUUUUGGUUCUUAACAUGCACCAAGGUCGUCUAAGAACCAACAUAUGCAGUCCUUCAGUUGUCAUACAAGUGGAUCAUUAACAAUGUGCAAGAUUUGUCAAGUUGACAUUCAAUACUCAAAUAAUGCAGGUAGCCAGCCAUACUGUUUUUUGAAAAUAUAUUGAAGCUAUCAGUAACUAAUCUCUCUUUUUUUCCGCCUUGUCAUUUCAAUUUCAUCUCACAUGCUAUAAUCAAUUCUCAAUGCUUGGAUUACAGGAGCAGCCAAACAACAGUGAAGGAAAAAAAGAGGCUAAACUCACUUUGGUUCUGAUUUGAUGCAAGAAAUCUUCCUUUUCAUCUAUAUCCUUGCCAUUUGCAGAUUGAUUAGCUUCUUUCUGGCAAUUGAACUCCUGCUGGUCCUGUUGCUGCAGACACAGAAUCCCAUGGCAAAGAUUUAGUUCAUGUUCCUCGUUGUGAUAAAAUGAAAUAGAUUGAAGCCAACAAAUAGAUAUACUAUUGUAUGAAUGUCAUUAUACCUUGCUUUUAGGUUUAAAUGCAAUAGUAUCCUCUUUCAUUUUCUGUUCAACAGCUGGGGCAGGCUUAGGUUGCUGGGGCACAGUAGAUUCCAAAGGUUUUAUAUCAAAUGCAUGUUCAUGAGCUUUGGAUAGAGAAUGUUGUUUGCCUUCUGAUAUACCAGAGUGGGGCUUUGAAACUCUCCAUUGAACUGGAGGAAGAGGUGGUGGCAAUGGAGUGGAAUCGUUAAGAUGCUCCAACUCUAUUUGAUUCGUUUGAACUAAAUUAUCCCUUGUUUUUCCAUUCACUACAGGGUUCAUGGCAUCAAAACAUGGCAGAUCCAAUGAAGCAGAUAGAUCAUCUGCACCAUUCUCAGUAUACAUGCCUGGAAGUCCCCUGUCAACGCAAAUACCAUUAUUGCCAGCUUCCCCAGGCUGCGGUGAGCUUGAAAAAGAUUCACCUGGAAAUAUUCUGCGCGAAGCAUCAUACAACUCAUGGUCCUUGCUUUCAGGAGACUCGUCAGAUUCCCACUGAUCAGAAUGUGAUUCAGAGUCAUGGCUAAGACAAUCAUCAGACAUAUAAGGAGAUGAUCUACAGAACGUAUCAUCAUCAGAUUCGGAACCCACAUGGCGCGGUGGAAUAGCAGUCUCCGGAAUCAAUUGAAAUGAUGGAAACAUGUCUCUAAUGCUUGCAUUACAGUGGUUCCCAUCAGGAAACUUCAGUUUCAGUUUAGAAUCCUCAAAGCCAUUGAUAGGGUGGAAAGAUAUUUUCAUAUGUUCCAAUGGUGGUGAAGACAUAAGUGAAUCAAUAGAAUAUUUACUUCCAAACUGCUCAUUGUAUGCUUUCUCUGGAGUUGCUUGAUGUGUAACUUCAUUUCGCCAGCUCUGCUGCUCUAAUGUACUAGUUCUCAGUAACCUAGUUGGUUCACAUUCACCAUCAUGGACCAAUGACAUCUUUCUACUAAAACCAUUAACAAGUAACCCAUGUCCAAAUCCAUGCCUUUGUGAUGAAUUUUCAUCAUUAUCCUGACUGGACUCAAUAGGCGUCACUUUGGAGUCUGAAUCAUGCUGCGACUCAUUUCCUGGUGUUACUGCAGUGGUAAUUUUCUGUCCAUCCUCAUAACUAGGACUAUAUUUAUUUCCAUGAUGAAAAUCACCAGGUUUUUCUACUUUGGUCCCUUGAUCCUCCUGCAAUGAUGAGGAGCCUUUGGAACUUGGAACCCUUUCCAUGUUUCCUGCAUCCUUGAUCAAUCUUCCAGGUGCUCCUCCAUCAUUGCUUGACAUGGAAGUGUGAUUUGGAGGCAGCCCUGCCUCACCUUCACUUCUGGUCACAUAAUCUGGACUCGUGGCAUUUGAUACGGCAAAAUCUGGAGGCUUUGAAGGCUCAAGUCCUAAAAGGCCACCAUUUGUCCAGAAUGUCGUAGAAUGAACACUGGAAAAAUCAGCCUGGGAUUCUUGAGACCUAUUGGAACUUCUUAUGGAUUUAUUGCUCAGUGGUUCUUGUACAUUUAAAAUUGAAGUUGCAGAGACAGAAGAUGAUGGAUCACUAACAAAUUCUACUUUUGAAUUAUCAAUGGCAUCAGCACUUGUAGAAAAUUUGAUGCCUGGUGAACUGUCUAACUUGGAAGAUUUUCCAGAAAUAUGAUAUUCCUGUUCAUGGGCAAAACUCUUUGAGGAAACUGAGUUGGGUGAUUCACAGGGAAUGUUUUCAUUCGAGGAAGUGGAUAAGGUACGGGAUUCAUAUUCAGAUGGAUGAUGGUCUGAAAUAUGUGCUGUUACCUUGUGUAUUGUCUCCUCUACUUCAUUGUCAACAUUGGAGGAAAAUUGCUCAACUUCAUGUUUUGUUUGGCAAUCACUAUCAUUUUCAGAUUCUGACUCAAUGGUGUUCAAUGCAUCCAUGAAAUCAUCUGGUUCGCUUUCAACCUCGUCGAGCUGGCUGUUACUAGAGCUUGAUUUUGGAGUAUUUGCAUCAUCAAGAACAAUAUUUUGAGGAUUAGGAUUUUUAAGAUUGGCAGUCAAUCCAUCCUGUGUAUCUAGGUCAGACUCUGCAGCAUGCAUUUCUGAAACUUCAUCACCAUGUUGACCUCUAGGCUCUACUAUUUCUGCCUUUUCAUCCCAAGUAACACAAGAAGAACUAAGGGCAGCAAUCUGCUCUGGUGAAGAAAUGUGAUGAAAAUUGUUAUCUGCAAUGUCAGGUUGUCUGUCGGGAAAAACUGAACCACGAACAUCAUUGCGCUUCAUGAAACUUGAAGAGAAUUCCUUCAGUCCAUCUUCUUCAGCUCGCACUGAGGAAUUUAGUUGGAACACACAUUCAACAUACCCUGAACCAGUUCUUGAAUCAAAAGAAUUUGAAGGAUCACCCGCGUCAUAUUUUAAUGUCAUGUCAGUUGUAGAAGCCGUAUGAGAAGGAGUGGUCUGUCCAUUAAUAGUUGGAGUAGUAAACUGCAUUCUGCAGAGCCAAAUACCAUGUACACAUUAAUUUCAUCAAACUGCACAUGGCAGCACUAGCUCCCUUUGUAAAGAUGCAAUACCUGCCACUAUGAUUUGACAUUGAUGCAUGAUGGGCCGAGUCUCUGUUCCUCUGUGAUGAAUGUUUUUUCUGUCCAUUUUGACAUUAAUCAGUAAAAUUAGAGGGUGGAAAAAUAGUGCUCGGGCAAGUAUUUAAAUUAAAUAUACGCUGCGGGAGGAGUAAAUAAAUUAAGAUCUCACUGAAAAUCUGAGUAGUCAACAUAAUGAGCAAGCAUGCUUGCACUUCAAAUAGAAAAAUUGGAGGAACGUGUGACUGACUAUAUGUGGUGUUGAAGUUUAAACAGUUUCCCCGUUGCUUGUGAUUAUAGAGAAAACUAGUUGACUAAAUAAAAUCAAGGCUAUAUCACAAGAUCAAUAGAAAGAAGCACUUCUCACAAUAGUUGAAAUUUGUUACAGAAGUAAAAUACCUUGGUUUCCCUAGCUCUCUUAUCUUUUGGAACUUUCACAGCAUCUGGUUCAGUGGCAUUACUAGAUGCUCUCCUAAAGAAGGUCGGAUCUGAAUAUCUCUUUAAACAAGACCCUGGCCCACCAGUGUCAAAUCUGAAUGUGAAACCAAAAGGAUUUAGUAUCUAGGAUCAAACUGCUUCAUCAUUCAAACAAACCAGUCGCUCAGGAGAGUGAGGAGAGAGGAAUGAGGAAUGAGCGUACUUGUCGAGCAAGUGCAAACGUGGAGGAUCACGACAUUCUUCAUAGGAAUCCAUAAUGAAUCGUGGCAGGUCAUUGUAGAUGAAAUGAUUUUGUUCAUUUUGAAUACAAGGGUGCCACUCAGAACCUGCAAGGUAGCUACUUUUUGUCAGCAUUUGAAUAACUAGAUAUUGAUGCAAAAAUAACAGCAAAAGAAACUUGAUUGCGGCUUAUGGGGUGAAGUAAGCUACCAAAAACAACUUGAGCAUCAACAAAAGAAUGAAGGGCAAUGGAGCUUUUCUAACAUCUACAAGUUUUUCAUAUGCUCUGAAAACUUGUGCCAAUAGAUACACAUAUUUAUUGAAUUCCAAAGUACUGGAAACCAUCGAAGUUUUCUGGACAGAUAAUGAUCCAAACUCGUGAUUAGCUUCUAAACUCUAAUUGUCAAGGUGGUAACUGCUUUGCUAAGGUGGCAGUGAACAGUGAAAAAAGAUAUGAUAACCGAACAGGCUUCAGCCAAGACAAAGCCAGAGUAUACUAGAUUGAUUCAAACCAGAAAGUCACGGGAGAGGCUAAAUAAAAAUAGAGCAUGGCUUUUAUAUCAGGUAACGAGCCAUACCAGCUGUGUACGCAAAAUGUGUAUGACUUGUUUGGGAAAGCACCACCUUUUCAAGAGGAGGGAGUGCAACUUCAAUGUUUUGCACACGAACCAUCAAUUUAUGACUUCUAGAAGCUGUAGACAUCACUUGCUCUUGUAAGCCAUGGAAAACCUCUGCUGCAAAUCUAGAACCAGGUCAAAUAUGCUGUUUCAAUCAAUACCUUCAGAUAGUCAACAAUGCACAACAAUAAUCUAAUAAAUGAGAAAAUUAUAUUAAUGUUUAGUUAGAUCAGCCAUUUAUUUGAGAUUUUGUAGCCAAAAUUAAAUCAACCCUCACAGUCAAUCUGUGGAAUCCUUUAUAUAUGACAAUAUAGUGCUUGAUAUAAACACAUAAAAGCCAUUAGAACAAGGAUCUAAUUGGGAAGACAAUUGUGCUCCUUGGGAUGAAAAAUACUCACAGGAAAACAAACCUAAAAUCGUACUUGCACUACGGAUAUGCGACAGCCAAAUAGCCUACAGCAGUCCCUUUCGCGUGUGAAAAAGUAUUAUGAAUAUCCAAUGUUAAGGCGAUCGAUAUAUAAUGUAAUUUUAACAAAAAAAACUCCAUCCAGUAGCCAUAAUAGAUUAAGAAUCACUAAAUGAUUGCUCAUUUCAUUAAAUUAAGAAUGAAACCUCCAAAGCAAUUAAGCAGGCCAAUCACCAAUUCUUCAUUGUUUGGUUGAAUUUAAUAGUACAGUUACCUGUUUUAAGAACAUAUUACUCAAAUAUCUUUUUGAGAACAAAAAACAGCAACUGAACAAAAAGAAAAAAAAAAAAAAAAAGGUACAAACUCGGCAAGAUCGCCUAGUUGACGCAAGAUCCCAACCAAAGCAGCAGCAGCAACAGCAUCAAGCACGGCUUUUGGAUCUUCUUCACGGUUUGCUUCUCUGCACAGCUCACCCUGUCCUAACCUCAACUCAUUUCUCACUUCAAACCGAACCAAAGGCAUUCUUCUUCUUAUUAUUAUUAGUAUUAUUCUUGUUUUCUCCUCUCACUCACUCAAAUUAAAGAUUCUCCUCCACUACUGACUGAUACAGCAGCAGUAUUAGUAUUGGUAGUUAUGUGUUCAGAUUGAAUGAAUGAAUGAAUGCACGAAGGAAGGAAGGGGUGGGUGAGGAAGAAAGGAGCAGCUUAACUGCCUGAGAUGAACAAACACACACUGGCCUUUUAUGUUAAUUUAUUUUAAUUUUCAGAGCUAAGCUAAAACGAUUGGGGAGAGAGAGGGAGAGAGAGAGAGAGACGAACAGGGAGGGAGAGAGGGAUUACAUUACAUUGCCACCUCUACAAGCCAUUCGUUUUCUUACUCAAAACCGAGACAAACAAAUAUCAUUUUCUGUACAGAGAGACUGUCCGUCCAAAUACUGGAUUGGCCUUCGUUUUUUUAUUUAUUGACGUGGCGGUCCUCGGUAAAUGUGCGUGCGAGAGAGGAUUAUUUCUUAUGCUUCUCGACUUUCCGAGAGGAGGGGCAUUAGACAACGUGGCUUCCAUUAAUUCCUUGGAUUUUUCCUUUCUUUAUUUGUUUUUUGGUUAAAUAACAAAGGGUUAUUUUCUCGAAAUAGGGUUAAGAUGGUAAUUUGCAGUGGUAAAUAUUUGAAUAGACAACUAUGUGAUGGGUACCCCUUGUUGUUAUGGUGUCUGGAUUACAAAAUUCAAGUGAAGGAUCGCUGUCUCUUCAUGAAUUUCAUUUCCCAUGUGUUUGAAAUUGCAUAAAAUUUAAUUUUUUUAAUUAUUUAAAAUUAUUUUUUUAUAUUUUCAGAUAAUUUUAAUGUACUAAUAUUAAAAAUAAUUUUUUAAAAAAUAAAAAAAAUAUUACUUUAAUACAUUCUUAAAUAAAAAAUACUUUAAAUAAUAACACUACCAUACAAAAAACAAAUUGUGUUUCACUCAAGAUUUGCUAAAACAAAUGCUGACAAUGAUAGAAGAACUGAACACGAGCAAUACCAGAGUUAUUAACAGACACUUUAACAGACCUGGAGUGAAACAGAAAUCUACCCAAAGAGUAGUGUGGAAGAGGGCAAACGGAAUUUAUGAAGAGAAAGCGAUAUUUCUAUUACUUCAAUUCUGUAAUCAAGUCACCAUAAAAAUGUGGGUCCUCACUUGCUCACUUUGAGCUGUUUGUUUUUAUAGUUACAGCCAUAUUUUGUGAUUUGCAAAAAAUUGAUUGAAAUUAAAAAAAUGUAGUGUUUUUUUUAUUAUUUUAUUUUAUUAAUAUAAAAAAAAUUAUAUAUUAAAAAAAAAACAUUUUAGAAGAUAACAACUUUAACGCUACCGGUCACUGUCUUAUUUGGUCCCCGUCACUAUCUUAUUUGGUUAACAAUUGUCAAUGCUUGUUUCGUUUUGGAGUAACAUUUAUUCUCUGGAUAUAACCGGUCACCAUGCUUAUGUAAUGUCAGUGGACAAUUUUCAAAAUAUUUUUUAUUUAAUUUUAUGAUAAUUAAAAUUGAUAUUUAUAACAGAGAAAAAUAUUUAAAUUCUAAAAAAUAUUUUUUAUUAGAUAAAAACUUAUUUUUCUUGUCGCGCGUCGGAAAACACCCCGCGCGGCGUCCGCUUCCUGGCGAUGGCGGUUUUGCUCUCUGUUAUUGGAAUUGAUUUUGUUAGGAGUCGCCACCUAGUAUUUAAUUGAGGGUUACUAGGAAACCCAGGUUGACUGGUCUUAUCAGAGAUUCACGGGUAAGGGACUGAUUGUGGUUAGGGAAGGUGUUAGCACCCCUAACACACCCUACCUGAGGUAAGCUGCUUUGUAAUUGUGAUGUGUUAAAGAAGUUUUAAAAAUUUUGUCUUUUCAUCGGAAUUUAGAAAUACAACUUUCGUACAAGUUUGUACUUCUACACCGUGAUCCAAUCAAAAUAUUAAAUCCUUCUUUAUGCUUUGCCAUCUCCUUGUAAAAAGAUCCCUGAAGUAAAUACAAACAUACAUUUUUUUGUUUUUUUUGUUCUUUCUUGCUUUUUUUAUUUUUUAUAAUAUAAUAAAAAAAACAAGCACAAACACACAUUUUUUAUUAUAUUUUUUCUUCUUUUUUCUUUUUUCUUUUUUUUGCCUUUUCUUUUUUUUUCUUUUACUCUUUUUUCUUUACAUCCACAAUACAAGUUAUAAAAUUCAAAAAUAAAUAAAAAUUACAUCAAAUAAUCCAAAUUUUACAAAACAGUCCUCAAAACUCCAGAAAUUUGCAAGGGAACCACUGAAACUGCAGGAAUUCGUGCGCAGGAAUGCAGGCGGCGCGUGUUCCAACGCGCCACCGUUCCUGGCGGCACGUGAAGCCACGCGCCGCCGCUGAUGCCGGAAAAAUGGUGGGUUCGGCUCAGCUUCUGCCCCUCUUCUCUGCCGGUGGCGCCGUUACCUGCAAAACAAAAAAACACAAAACACAACAAGCCGCCCCUUUUCAUCUCGGUUUUUUUUCAUCUGCAUCCUACAGAUCCGGUUUUCUGGACUUUGGUUUCUACUCUGUUUCAAGUCGCCGGCAAGGAAGAGGACACGGACCAGAGGGGCGUCACUGCUGGAGGCGUGAGGAGCGACUGCGGGUACUGUUGUUGCCGCUGGGGGCUGUUCGGCCGGUGGUGAAGGAGAUCGGCUGCUGCUGCUGGUGGCCGGUCUGUGGGCUCUGUUGAAAGCCGGCUGGAGAAGGAGGAUCUGCCGUGGCUGGGGUUGCUGCACGGGUUGGUGGAGCAAACGGGUCUGUUGGAGGGAGGCGGCGCUGCUGCACGAGGAAGCGCUGUCGCCGCUGGAAGAAGAAGAAACCAGAGGGCGAAGGGGGAGCGGUUUCGGCUGCGGUUUUGGAAGGAAAAUGGAGUGGGAGCAGAAUGGCUGCUCUGGUGAGGGAGAUGGUGAGCGGCGGAGAGGGAGAAGAACGGGACCGCGGCUGGAAAAGAAGAAGGAAAUGGGGAAACGGCGUGGAGGAUGAAAGGAAAUGGAGCGCCGGUUUGAGGGAAAAAUGGAAGGGGAGAGGCCUUGGUUCUGGCCGAAAAAAUUCAACAGGGGGGGGCGGCGGCUGCUGCCAAAGAUGGAGAAGAAAGUGAUGGUUUUAGGUUUAGGUUUUUUUUGUAUUUUUUUACUGAUGUUGUCAAAAUUGCCCCCCCUUGCUUAGCUGAAAAUGAAGGCUAUUUAUAGGCAAAAUAGUUUUUCGGGCUUCAAAAUUGGUCCCUCAAGUUUUGUGUUUGGCCCUUAAUUUCAAUCGAUUCACUUGGUAAAAAUUAAAUUGGGUAUCUUAAAAUUCUGAUUUUUCAAUUAAGUCCAAAUUAAGCUCCCAAACUUAAUUUUCCACCAAUUAAGCCCUCAAAUUAAUUUGACCCGCUUAAAGUAUAAUUAAGUCCUUGCACUUAAUUAAAUCCUUCAAUUGGACCCAAAUUAAUUCUUGAACAUAAUUAAAAUUCAAUUUGGCCCAUGAUUAAAUCAAAUUGGCCCAUUAAAAAUUUAAUUAUGUCAUUGGACUUAAUUCUUAUGCAAAUUCGUCCAAUAAUCAUUUAAUUUGACCUUUGAAUUUGCAUUUUUCUAUUUUUGGGCAUAACAGCGUACACUUGGGCCUUGAAAUUCUUCCGAAAAUUGCAGCUUGAUUUUCGCCUAUUUUGCAGCCUUUCUUGGUCGGCUUUCUCCGCAUUGCCAGCCUUUAUUUUAUUUUUUAUUUUUUAUUUUUUAUUUUAUUUUUUUGGGAAANNNNNNNNNNNNNNNNNNNNNNNNNNNNNNNNNNNNNNNNNNNNNNNNNNNNNNNNNNNNNNNNNNNNNNNNNNNNNNNNNNNNNNNNNNNNNNNNNNNNACCCCCCAGGUUUGGCUGAAAAUGAAGGCUAUUUAUAGGCAAAAUAGUUUUUUCGGGCUUCAAAAUUGGUCCCUCAAGUUUUGUGUUUGGCCCCUGAUUUCAAUCAAUUCACUUGGUAAAAAAUUAAAUUGGGUCUCUUAAAAUUCUGAUUUUUCAAUUAAGUCCAAAUUAAGCUCCCAAACUUAAUUUUUCACCAAUUAAGCCCUCAAAUUAAUUUGACCCGCUUAAAGUAUAAUUAAGCCCUUGCACUUAAUUAAAUCCUUCAAUUGGACCCAAAUUAAUUCUUGAAUAUAAUUAAAAUUCAAUUUGGCCCAUGAUUAAAUCAAAUUGGCCCAUUAAAAUUUAAUUAUGUCAUUGGACUUAAUUCUUAUGCAAAUUCGUCCAAUAAUCAUUUAAUUUGACCUUUGAAUUUGCAUUUUUUCUAUUUUUGGGCAUAACAGCGUACACUUGGGCCUUGAAAUUCCUCCGAAAAUUGCAGCUUGAUUUUCGCCUAUUUUUGCAGCCUUUCUUGGUCGGCUUUCUCCGCAUUGCCAGCCUUUAUUUUAUUUUUUGAUUUUUAUUUUGAAAAAAAGUGACUUUUGGGGAAUCACCCAAAAUUGGGUGAUGACAGUUGCCCCCCUCUUUACAAUGCUUAUGGUAGAAAGUCUCGUAAGAGACUUUAGAUAGUAAGCGUUGUAAAGAAGAAAAAAAAGGAUGAGAUAUGAUUGACUCAUCUUGUUGAGGAAUGAUGAAUCCUCUUAAGGGCUAGGAAGCGCACUCGGAGUAAAAACUGGAAGAGUUUUUGAAAAUUCAAAGAUUUUGAAAUGGUCGAACUGUCAUGGGUGACCUACCCGGUGAAAUUUUUUGAGGUGGUCUCCUUGUAAAGGGUGACCUACCUAGGUGAAAAAAACGAAGAUUUUAAAGUGGUGAAAAAUACAGAGAUUUUUCAAGGUGGUGAAAAUGCAAAGAUUUUCCAAAGGGGUGAAAAAUACAGAGAUUUUUCAAAGUGAGGAAAAAUACAAAAGAUUUUUCAAAAGGAAGGAAAAAUACAGAGAUUUUUCAAAGGUGGUCUUGUUGUAAUGGCGACUUGCCCGGGUUGAAAAUGAAAAGAUUUCAAAAUGGUGAAAAAUACAAAGAUUUUUCAAAGUGGUGAAAAAUACAAAGAUUUUUCAAAAGUUGUCUUUGUUGUAAUGGCGACCUGCUCGGGUUGAAAAGUUUUGAAAAAAUACAAAGAUUUUUUUUCAAAAAUACCAAAUUUUUUUCAGAGUGGUGAGAAACGCGAAGAAUUCUCGAGAUGAUGAAAAAUANNNNNNNNNNNNNNNNNNNNNNNNNNNNNNNNNNNNNNNNNNNNNNNNNNNNNNNNNNNNNNNNNNNNNNNNNNNNNNNNNNNNNNNNNNNNNNNNNNNNNNNNNNNNNNNNNNNNNNNNNNNNNNNNNNNNNNNNNNNNNNNNNNNNNNNNNNNNNNNNNNNNNNNNNNNNNNNNNNNNNNNNNNNNNNNNNNNNNNNNNNNNNNNNNNNNNNNNNNNNNNNNNNNNNNNNNNNNNNNNNNNNNNNNNNNNNNNNNNNNNNNNNNNNNNNNNNNNNNNNNNNNNNNNNNNNNNNNNNNNNNNNNNNNNNNNNNNNNNNNNNNNNNNNNNNNNNNNNNNNNNNNNNNNNNNNNNNNNNNNNNNNNNNNNNNNNNNNNNNNNNNNNNNNNNNNNNNNNNNNNNNNNNNNNNNNNNNNNNNNNNNNNNNNNNNNNNNNNNNNNNNNNNNNNNNNNNNNNNNNNNNNNNNNNNNNNNNNNNNNNNNNNNNNNNNNNNNNNNNNNNNNNNNNNNNNNNNNNNNNNNNNNNNNNNNNNNNNNNNNNNNNNNNNNNNNNNNNNNNNNNNNNNNNNNNNNNNNNNNNNNNNNNNNNNNNNNNNNNNNNNNNNNNNNNNNNNNNNNNNNNNNNNNNNNNNNNNNNNNNNNNNNNNNNNNNNNNNNNNNNNNNNNNNNNNNNNNNNNNNNNNNNNNNNNNNNNNNNNNNNNNNNNNNNNNNNNNNNNNNNNNNNNNNNNNNNNNNNNNNNNNNNNNNNNNNNNNNNNNNNNNNNNNNNNNNNNNNNNNNNNNNNNNNNNNNNNNNNNNNNNNNNNNNNNNNNNNNNNNNNNNNNNNNNNNNNNNNNNNNNNNNNNNNNNNNNNNNNNNNNNNNNNNNNNNNNNNNNNNNNNNNNNNNNNNNNNNNNNNNNNNNNNNNNNNNNNNNNNNNNNNNNNNNNNNNNNNNNNNNNNNNNNNNNNNNNNNNNNNNNNNNNNNNNNNNNNNNNNNNNNNNNNNNNNNNNNNNNNNNNNNNNNNNACUUAAAAAGAGGCAGGGUUGGAAAACACACUACCUAAGAUGGUUGGUGGCUCGAAGGAGCACCAAAAAGGGAGGCAGGGUUGGAAAACACACUACCUAAGGUGGUUGAUGGCUUGAAGGCGCACUAAAAAAAGAGGCAGGGUUGGAAAACACACUACCUAAAAGGUUAGGGCUCGAAGGCACACUCAAAAGGAGAUAGGGUUAGAAAACACACUACCUAAGGUGGUCGAGGGCUUUAAGGCACACUCAAAAGGAGGUAGGGUUAGAAAACACACUACACAAGAUGGUUGAUGGCCCUAAGGUGCACUAAAAAAAGAGGCAGGGUUGGAAAACACACUACCUAAAAGGUUAGGGCUCGAAGGCACACUCAAAAGGAGGUAGGGUUAGAAAACACACUACACAAGGUGGUUGAUGGCCCUAAGGCGCACUUAAAAAGAGGCAGGGUUAGAAAACACUCUACCUAAGGUGUGAGGGCUCGAAGGCCCACUCAAAAAUGGAGGCAGGGUUAGAAAACACUCUACCUAAGGUGUGAGGGCUCGUAGGCCCACUAAAAAGGAAGGCAGGGGUAGAAAACACGCUACCUAAGGUGUGAGGGCUCGAAGGCCCACUAAAAAGGGAGGCAGGGUUAGAAAACACUCUACCUAAGGUGUGAGGGCUCGAAGGCCCACUCAAAAAGGGAGGCAGGGUUAGAAAACACUCUACCUAAGGUGUGAGGGCUCGAAGGCCCACUAAAAAGGGAGGCAGGGUUAGAAAACACUCUACCUAUGGUGUGAGGGCUCGAAGGCCCACUAAAAAGGGAGGCAGGGUUAGAAAACACUCUACCUAAGGUGUGAGGGCUCGAAGGCCCACUAAAAAGGGAGGCAGGGUUAGAAAACACUCUACCUAAGGUGUGAGGGCUCGUAGGCCCACUAAAAAGGAAGGCAGGGUUAGAAAACACGCUACCUAAGGUGUGAGGGCUCGAAGGCCCACUAAAAAGGGAGGCAGGGUUAGAAAACACUCUACCUAAGGUGUGAGGGCUCGAAAGCCCACUCAAAAAAGGAGGUAGAUAGGGCUAGAAAGCCCACUAUCAAAAUGGUGAGGGCUUGAAAGCCCACUCAAAAAUGGAGGUGAUGGUGAGACACUAUGUCAAGGAUGAAAGCGAUGUAUCAUGAUCAAUAUGCAUGUAUACUUACCUGAGAAAUGUAGGUCCCCUUUCUUCAUGGAGUUCCCUUUUCUACAUGGAGUUCUCUUUUCUUCAUGGAGUUCUCAUUUUCUCAAAAGUUUGAGUCUCUGAUAGUAAGCUUCGAUGGCUUUUUUCGCUCUUGCUUACUCGAGUCAUCUCUUGUGAUAUUAACCCCUAGGAAAGACUUGAUAUCAUCAUACUUCUUUGUCCUCCGCCCCUUUAUCUCAAGAGUUGCCAAUUUUGCCCAAUAGUUUCUUAGAAAAGGAAUCAUGGAGCCAGCUCUACCAGAUGUUUUUGAUUGCCCUUAGCUUGAUCAUGCCCGCAAGUAUUCAAUUCGGGUUUGGGGAUGAGGCUAUGUGAAGGAAGAUUUGGUUAUUUACAAGGAGUUGUUUUCAUGCAGAAUUUUUGGAAUUUCAAAGCUUUUCCACAAACAGAAAUCAUUUUGACAUCGAUUCAAAGCAGACUCAUUCUGAAGAAAUUCAAAUGAUUCCUAUGGAGAGGUUUUCAGAUGUGAUCAAAACGUUUUGUUUUGAUUUUUUGAUGAAAAAUAUGAAGUGACAUUUGGUUGGUCACAAGAAGGUUGAAAUUUCAAUUUGAGGGUUAAUGAGAACCGUGUUUCGACGAUAAUGUGAAAAACACAAAGUGACAUCUGGCGGGUCAUAAAAGGUUGAAAUAUCAAUUUGAGGGUUAAUGAGAACCGUGUUUCGACGAAAAUGUGAAGAACACGAAGUGACAUCUGGUUGGUCACAAAAAGGUUUAAAUUUCAAUUUGAGGGUUAAUGAGAACCGUUUUUCAAAGCAUUCGUUUUAUUUGCAUGAAUAAUGAUUUUGUUUCGCAUGAGAAAGCACUGCCUACCGAUCCAGAUUGCUUGCCUUUGAUCAGAAAGGGCUUGAUUAGGCACGUAAUGUAGGCUUGGGCUCUUGGCUAUGAAGAAAAGGAUAUUUGUAGGCUCAAAAGGUGUUUAAGGGAUUUCAAGACUAAGGAUCACUUGUGCUUAUAUCCCAACCUAGUUUUUCAUACAUUUAUGGACCUUGGAAUUUGAUUUGUAAAAUGGUCCACGGUGCCCCCCAGCGUUGGGCUGGGGCUCUUUCUCUUUGUUUUUGUUUUCUUCAUUUGAUUUUGAGCAUUAUUGCAUUGGCUUUUCUUUUGCUCAAAAUUUUUGGAUCCUUUGGAUUUUUCUUCAUGCCCCCCAGCUUUGUAUGGGCACCUUCAAUUGAUUGAGAAUUUUCUUUUAUGCCCCCCAGUAUUGUGUGGGCACUUUCAAUAAUUGAUGACUUUUUCAUGCCCCCAAGAGUUAUUUGGGCACUUUCAAUCAUUAAGGAUUUUUGGCACUUGCCCCCCAGUGUAGGGUGUGAUCCUAGCCAAGGUUAUUUUUCAAGAAAAAUUUAUUAGGCUCAAAAGGGGACUGCAAAGGAUAUAUUUCAGCCUUGUGAGAGGAUUAUCAAAGAUGGCCUUUCUUCAUCUCAAAUGCAUGCAUUUAGGAUCGGUAAGCCUUGCUUUCAUGCGAGUAUGCAGAGUGAUUUCUCAUUAUUCAUGCAAAUAAAACUCAGCUUUAGAGUCACUUCAUGGUGUUUUUGUUUUUUUUGGGUUUUCUUGGUGUAUGGUUACCUCUCUAAGGAAUCACCUGAAUUUUCAGAACUUGUUUGUUUGAACAAACACCAGUAUGAUUUCUGUUUUGUACUAAACUUUGAAUUCCCAAAAAUCCUUAUGAAAACAUUCAUGGUUUUGGAAAAAAAGGGAAACACGCCCAAAGAUUCUUGGCGCAAUGGUUUUGUAAGUACAAAGGUGUGCUCAGUAUGUUAUUUGCAUGAACACACAAAAAAGAAAACACAUGCUUUUAUUCACAGGAAAGGCUCAUUUGACAGAGAAAGUCUUGUGGUAUUUUGAGCCAAAUUACCAACAAAAACUGGAAUAGGUUGAAAAAAAAAAACAGACUCCAUUUCUCAAUAGUAGUGCAAUUCCAUUCUGCAAUAGUGGUGCAAUUCCCCUUCGGAUUGUGUUGAGGCUUUUAACCAAGUUUGCCCCCCAAUUUCUUUGGGUUGAGUUGUUGGGGUUUGAACAAAGAUGAUAGGUCAGCUGGAAGGAACUUCCCUAUAGAUAUUUUUCGAUAUUUGCUCGAGUAAGCCAGAAGCGAGUCAAGCUUUUGUUUAGAGACUCCAACUUUUUUGAAAAUGGGUGAUGCAGCGAGCACACUCUGUAUCUCCAAUGUUUUUUUUUUUUUUUUUUUGCUCAAAAUUAGGUGUUGUAGACUUGUAGGGGACCCACUUUUCAUUCUGGUGCAUGCAUGAAAAAAAUGUAUGAACAUGCAAUCUAUAUGAUGAACUUGCCCUUCGAGGGGUGACAUAUGAUCGUCACUUUUGUAUGAUGAAACAAGAAUCUUGAUUCUUGCCCAAACUCUACAAUGAAAAUUUUCGGAGUGACGAUCAUUCUGUCACCCACAAGUCUUGAAUUCAAGACGCUUCAAGAAGGGUUCGCCCCGAUGCAAAUAAAUGAUAGCACAUACAACCUCAGGACAGAUAUUAUGUGAACAUGGGUGGGUUUCCUACCUGGUCUCAAAAGGGUCUAUGAGCUGCCCAGUGACCACCUCUCGUGAAGGCAGUAUAGGGGUUUACAAGGAAUGGUUGGGGCACCCUGUGACCGCCAUUACCGAGUAAACACUCAGCUCAUAGUUGGAUGUUUCACAAAUCUAAACCCCGACUGAAAGUCAUGGGGCAGACCGCUACUCCCCACCUAGCUUAGAAGCUUGUGUGUGCUUUCAAAAAUAAAUACAAGUGAUGCAUGAAACACUUCUAAAAAUGCAUGGAUAAUAUAAAACAAGACAAAAAUGGCAAAACUUAAACACAUCAAAUACACAAAGCUUAGUCCAAUAUUGUUAGAAACAAUACCUCCCCAGUGGAGUCGCCUUUCUGUCGCACGUCGGAAAACACCCCGCGCGGCGUCCGCUUCCUGGCGAUGGCGGGUUUUUCUCUCUGUUAUUGGAAUUGAAUUUGUUGGGAGUCGCCACCUAGUAUUUAAUUGAGGGUUACUAGGAAACCCAAGUUGACUGGUCUUGUCAGAGAUUCGCGGGUAAGGGACUGAUUGUGGUUAGGGAAGGUAUUAGCACCCCUAACGCACCCUACCUGAGGUAAGCUGCUUCGUGGUUGUGAUGUGUUAAAGAAGUUUUAAAAAUUGUCUUUUCGUCGGAAUUUAGAAAUACAACUUUCGUACAAGUUUGUACUUCUACACCGUGAUCCGAUCAAAAUAUUAAAUCCUUCUUUAUUCUUUUGCCGUCUCAUUAUAAAAGGAUCCCUGAAAUAAACAUAAACAUGCAUUUUUUUGUUUUUUUGUUUUCUUUCCUGCCUUUUUUAUUUUUUUAUAACAUAAUAAAAAAACAAGCACAAACACACAUUUUUUAUUAUGUUUUUUCUUCUUUUGUUUUUUUUUCUUCUUUUUUGUUUCUUCUUUUUUCUUUUUUUUUCUUUUUUUUUUUACAUCCCCAAUACAAAUUAUAAUAUUCAAAAAUAAAUCAAAAACUACAUCAAAUAAUCCAGAUUUACAAAACAGUCCUCAAAACUCCAGAAAUUGCAAGGGAACCCUUCUGCACAGGAAUUGGAGGCAGGAACGCUGGCGGCGCGUGUUCCAACGCGCCACCGUCACUGGCGGCGCGUGGGCUCACGCGCCGCCGCUGAUGGAGACCAGAAAUCAGUGGAUCGGGAAAGCCUUCUUCUUCCCUGUCUUCCUCCACCGGCGGUGAGAGUCACCGUCACCUGCAACAGCAAGAAAAACACACAAAGCAAUCGNNNNNNNNNNNNNNNNNNNNNNNNNNNNNNNNNNNNNNNNNNNNNNNNNNNNNNNNNNNNNNNNNNNNNNNNNNNNNNNNNNNNNNNNNNNNNNNNNNNNGCAGAUCGGUCGCUUUCUUCUUUUUUGGGUGGCAGAUCCGCCGUGGAUGACCCAGCGUCGUGGGUGAGGAGCUGCUGCUGUUGUGGUGCUCGCUGGAGGAGAAGAGGCUGAAUCUGCAGGCGCCACCGGAGGGAGAAGGCGGACUGCUCCGCGCCUGUGGGCGCUACUGCUGCUGCUGCUGCUGCUGCUGCUACCGCUGGGGGGAGGAGCUGGAGAUGACGCCGCUGUGACGAGCUCUGCUGGAGGGAGACGGUGCUGCUGCACGGGGAGGCGCCGUCACUGCUGGAAAAAGAAGAAACUGAAGGCAAAGGGUCGGCCGGUCUGUUUUUGGAGGAGAAGACGGGUUGUUUGAGCUGUAAUGGUCAGCUUGGCCGUGUGUGGGGGAGGAGGCUGAAGGGAAGGAGAAACCGAAGGAAAAACUUGUGAGAGGGGAGCAGCGGCUUGUGUGGAGGAAAAUGGAGUGGGGAGCAGCUGUGGAGAGGGGAAGGAAAAAUGGUGAAAUGGCGUGGAGGAAAGGGUGAAGAUGAUGCUGCCGUGGCUGUGUGGAGAGGAGGAAGCAACCGGAAAUUAAAAAGGGGGGUGGGGGGGCGGCUGCAAGAAGAAGAAGAUUAAGUUUUUUAGGGUUAGGUUUUUUUCUUCUUUUUUUUGUUGUCAAAAUUACCCCCCAGGUUUGGCUGAAAAUGAAGGCUAUUUAUAGGCAAAAUAGUUUUUUCGGGCUUCAAAAUUGGUCCCUCAAGUUUUGUGUUUGGCACCUGAUUUCAAUCAAUUCACUUGGGUAAAAAAUUAAAUUGGGUCUCUUAAAAUUANNNNNNNNNNNNNNNNNNNNNNNNNNNNNNNNNNNNNNNNNNNNNNNNNNNNNNNNNNNNNNNNNNNNNNNNNNNNNNNNNNNNNNNNNNNNNNNNNNNNAGCUCAUGUUAGUGAGAUAAUGGUACAAUUGGAAUUUUUUUAAUAAUUUUAUUUGUAGUGUAUUUUAUUUAAAAAUAAUUAAAAAAACACUAUUUAAAAAAAAUUAAAGGGUCAUUUAAAAACAAUUCACCUGGCUGGGCCUAAAAGAUAGGAAGCAUGCUUUGUUUUUUUUUUUUUUCUGAAAAAUAACAACAAAAGACUUGAAUCCGCUAAAGUUGUUUUUUAUAGGAUAUAAGACAUGUCUAUGUCUAUAUCCUUAUGUGGAUGACAUAUCAUCUAUUAGUGUAUUUUUUA
rnacentral:lncRNA from 1 species